rnacentral:lncRNA from 1 species
CGUUGGCUCGCUCGCCUGCCUUUCCGGCGUCGUUUUGAUGUUCGAUCGGACGUACCAGUAGCCUAGUGUCUGUCUGUCUGUCCAUGAGUACUACUCUUAUUAAGCUGACCACCCCAUGUGGUGUUUGUACCGGUGCGGGUCGUGGUAGAGUUGAUGAGAUCUGGUAGGGAAUUCUUUCUUCCUUCUCGUAGCGGUGACGGUGUUCCGAGACAUAUAAUUAUGUGUUGUCGUUCCAACUUCGUCUGUUUCCAUGCCACUUUUGUGCCGCUAGCUCAUGAUCGUGGUGGCGUGUCUCGUGUUGUCUUUGGCGCUGGGCCGGUCGGUCACGGCUUCGCAUCAUCAGGUCGACCCGCCCACGAUGCCAUGAUCCGUGUGAGCAUGCACGGUGGAGUUUUGGGGGUUUGCGGUGCGCCGCGCUGCGGCGGCACAUGGAGCUUGGACGGAUGUCGGGCAAGGAAAAAUAUCGCCGCGAUCGAGGUCUGGUGCUCGGAGCCAGAGCGCAGAGUCCACUUUGAUCUGGACUCUUGUCUGUGGCGCGCACUACUGUAUCUCGAGCGAGCGGAACACGCCGACACCGACACAGGAAAGGCUCACGAGGCGCCCCACUGUGCCUCUGAUCUCCUCGGGGGCCGCGCGGUUCAUGACGGGACCAGCCGCGGGCGCAGCCAGGUGCGGGCACGGGAUUGGGGGUACCAGGCGGUGGUCUUCGGCGCGGUCUGGGCCAACGCAUGGAUCCACGAGCAUGGUUUGGGCCUCACGGGCCCUUGUGCUCGCCGCUCGUUGAGCGUGGGCUGGUGUUGUGCCUUGGAGGUGGCACAUUUAGCAGUUACAUCUUCUCUUUCGAUGCUAAAAAAAAAAGCAGUUACAUCUUCUCUCUCAAAAAAAAAUCAGUUACAUCGGCACGUCUAAAGAAAAGCAGUUACAUCGGCGAAGGAAAAUUCAAAAGCGAAAUCAGUAGUUCAGGGUUGUUCCGCAACUCCUUUCAGGGUUGUUCCGCAACUCCGCCGGCGAGUCCGGUCCGAGGUUGCGGAGCGAGGGAGCGCGUUGUAGACGAAGUAGUCGAACACGCAAAAGUAGAUGAACACAGAAGAAACUAGCUUUAUUAAUCAAUGAUCAACUGUUAUAAUGAUUGCUCCUCGUCGCUUUAUAUAGGGGUAGGGGGUCAAGGGAUAAGUGGGUAGAUGAACACAGAGAAAUAUGGAGGAGACUAGCUUUAUUAAUCAAUGAUCAACUGUUAUAAUGAUUGCUCCUCGUCGCUUUAUAUAGGGGUAGGGGGUCAAGGGAUAAAUACCCACUUAACGUAAAGUGUGGAACCGGGAGGGGCUAUCCCAUGCGAUACGCACGCAGUCGCUAGCCUCACGACGUGGGCCGGUUUCCCAACACUCCUCCUUGGGUAAUUAUCCGUAUAUACAUGUCGCAAAACUUCAAAAAACCCAGUGGGAAAAAACAUGAAGAAAGAGCAUACAUUAUACGUUGUUGUAUUGCACGAAUUGUCUCGUCAAAAACCUCGCGUGAGAAACAUGAGAAAAACUCAUUCAAGGGAAAAAGAGCACAAUCCACUCAACCAUCAAGUUGAGUACUCGAUCAUCAAGAUUGAGAUUUUAACCACGAGUUUGUGAAGUUUCUCCCCCUGAACCUUGCAUCUCUCUAAGUCUCAUCAUACCGAUUCCACGCACACACCUCUCUAAGGUUGAUGCCGGUAAUGAUUUAGUGAACAUAUCAGCAAGAUUGUUACAGGACUUAGUGUGCAAAACUCUCACCUCGUUCAACUACUGCAGCUCAUGUGCAUAGAAGAACUUGAAACUAAUAUGCUUUGUGAGGUUACUCUUCACAUAACCCAUCUGGACUUGUGCAACACAAGCAGCAUUAUCUUCAUAGAUAAUAGUAGGGGUUUGUACGGUGUUCAGCCCACAUGUCUGCUGAAUGUGGCCGAUCACUCGCCAAAGCGAUACACAUUCUUUUGACGCUUUGAAUAGUGCCACGAUUUUCGAGUGGUUCAUGGAAGUCGACACAAGAGUUUGCUUGGACAAGGAAAAUGCAGUUCCACCACAAAUAAAAACAUAUCCAGUCUGCGAUUUGCAAUCAUGCGGGUCCAUAGGUACCCAGCAUCGGCAUAUCCUAUAAAUAGAUAGGUCUUGAUUCCUUCUAUAAAACAGGCUAAGAUCUUUGGUCCCUUGCAGGUAACGAAAGACGUCCUUGACACCUUUUCAAUGUCUUUUGGUAGGUUCAGAACUAUACCUCGCAAGCAAACUGAUGACGAACGCAAUGUCUGGUCGUGUACAGUUUGCGAGGUACAUGAGUGCUCCAACUACACUCAGGUAAGGAACCUCUGGUCCCAGAGUUUCCUCCCGCUCUUCCUUUGGCCUGAACGGGUCCUUGUCUGGCUGUAAAGAUCUCCCAACCAUCGGGGUCUUAGAAGGAUAUGCCUUAUCAAAUCCAAAUCUUUCCAACACCUUCUGGGUGUAGGCCGCCUUGUGCACUAGAAUCCCAUCAGGGGAAUGUUCAAGUUGCACACCUAGACAGAACUUGGUUUUACCCAAAUCCUUCAUCUCGAAUUCCAACAUCAGGUAGGAACUCACUUCCUCAAUAUCCUCAGGCGUACCGAUUAUGUUUAAAUCGUCCACGUACACCGAGAUUAUACAGAAUCCAUCUUGGGAUCGCCGUAUGAAAACACACGGGCAAUCUUUAUUGCUCGUGUAGCCCUUCUGAUGAAGGAAAUCACUUAAGCGAUUGUACCACAUUCGACCCGACUGUCUGAGUCCGUACAGUGCCUUUUGAAGUUGAACACUUUAUAGACCCCUAUUUGCUCUAUCAUGGUUCGGAACAGUGAUACCUUCUGGAACCUUCAUGUAUAUGUUCGAAUCCAAGUUACCAUACUGAUAAGCAAUGACAAAAUCCAUUAGUUUCAUUUUCAAGCCCAUGUUUACUGCCAUCGAGAUCAAGUAUCUAAAGGUAACUCCGUCCAUGACCGGGGAAUAAGUCUCCUCAAAAUCGACACCUGGUCGUUGAGUGAACCCUUGAGCGAUGAGCCUUGCUUUGUACUAUACUACCUUAUUAUUUUCAUCUCUCUUUCGAAGAAAAACCCACCUAUGGCCAACAUGGCGAAUGUGGGGAGGAGUUCGACAAACUGGUCCGAACACCUUCCUUUUGUUGAGAGAUAAUAAUUCAGUAGUAAUUGCCUCCUGCCAAUCUUUCCAAUCCGACCUUUUCUUGCAAUCAGCGAGCGUGUUAGGCUCAGGUUCGAGAUCUAUGAUUGAGGCAAUUUUUGUAGCAAAGUUAAUGUCGACAAUCACCGUUGCUCGGUUCAGGGACUCCCCCGUAUAAAUAUAAUUUAUGGACAUUUCUUCAUGGGGCGCAUCCGGUGCAAACACUUUCUCUACCAAAUUUCCCAUUAUGGGAGCAAGGUCCUUUAGAUUUCCCGCGCCGAUGUGUGCGCUCACAUCUCCGCUGGGUGUUUCCCCUAUGGGAAAGUUAAGUCCGGAAUUUUGUGCAUUGAAUUUUCCGUACUUGUGCCAGGUCUCGACUGGCUCCCCGUUUCAAUUUUGGAUACUUUGGCGAUAGGCUGUAAUAAAUCUCUCUUAUCAUUUUUCGUCGAGCGUCCCCGAGUACUUGGGAUUUGAGAAGCCGGAUUUCUCGUCCUUUUAGGCCUUUGGACGGGAGCGGGUAUAUCAUCAUUUUUCUUUGGUAUUUCAACCCUUUUCGGUGCAUUGCGCGUGUGCACAUGCGAUUUUGUCAUAGUCUUUAAGUCACUAAAGUGGUUAGGCAGUUGAUUUGCUAAAAACUGCAAAUCUAUUAUCUUUUGGACUUCUCUCUCAGUCUCAGUAGUGCGCAGGUCAUGAGCGUGGAUCCCCGUGGCUUGCCAUGUGAUUUCUUGACUUUUAGCAUCAAGGGGUUGAUUCUCUCCUCCUAAAAUCGGGAAAAAAUCCUCGUAAAAAAUGCAAUCAGCAAAACGAGCCGUGUGACAGUCACCUGUCAUGGGGUCCAGAUACCUGAUUAUGGACCCAGUCGCAUAACCAACGUAUAGCCCCGACUGAUGGAGCGGGCCCAUCGCCGAUCACUGAGGGGGUGGUAUUGGUACAUAUACCUGGCAACCGACCCUACGAAGGUGGGUAAUUUUCAGUGCCGACCCUUGCGUAAGUUGAACAGGAGAGUGGAUGUUGUAGGCCGACGGUCUAAAGUUGAUGAGAUUGGCCGCGUGUAACACCGCAUGGCCCCAACAUGUAGUUGGUAAAUUACAACCCUGAAGGAGCAGUUCGGCAAUGAAUUUAAUUCUUUUAAUAAAUGCCUCGGCAAGUCCAUUUUGUGUAUGAACAUGCGGUAUCGAGUGCUCAACUUUGAUUCCCAUUGUCAUGCAAUAAUCAUUGAACGCCUUUGAAGUAAAUUCUCUGACGUUGUCCAUUCGAAUAGACUUUAUACGAUAAUCAGGGAAAUUAUUCCUCAUUUGUAUGAUCUGAGAGAUCAACUUUGCAAAGGCAUGGUUUCGUGUUGACAGCAGGCAACAUUGGACCAUUUAGAGGAAGCAUCAAUGAGCACCAUGAAGUACCGAAACGGCCACGUGAGGGGCUGAAUUGGACCCCAUAUUUCCCCUUGGAUACGUUCCAAGAACGCGGGGAUUUCAUCCCUCACCUUGAGGGGUGAUGGCCUAAUGACUAACUUCCCCUUAGCGCAUGCAGAGCACACGAAAUCAUCGGGAUUCAGGAAGUUCUUCAUGUUAACAUUGUGACCAUGCGAGUUGUUAAUUAUAUUUCUCAUCAUCCUAAGUCCGGGGUGGCCUAACCUAUCGUGCCAGAGGCAGAAGAGUUCAGAUCUUCUAAAGACGGUCUUGAGGAUAGUGUACACGGGCGGUGCUACUAUUUUAGUGUAGUAUAACCCUAUGUCAAACGAAGGAAGUCUUUCAAUAACAUGUUUACCACUUGCAUCCCGCUUUGUGAUGAGUAGGCACUCCUUGCCGUUUUCAUCAUCGGUAUCAAUAUGGAAACCAUUAGCACGGAUGUCUCUCAAGCUCAAAAGAGUACGAAUCGACUCCGGGUACAACAAUGCAUCAUUAAUGAUCAAACUUGUUCCCAUAGGAAGUAUAAUAGUGGCUUGUCCGGAGCCAACUAUGUGCGAACCGCAGUCGGCGAUUGUCAUAAUACUUCCCGAAGAUUUUUUUAUGGACUCAAAGUACUUAGUUUCUCGUAAAAUGGUAUGAGUGGUGGCGCUAUAGGCAAGGCACGUUUCCUCCAUUCGGGCGCCACACGCGUUCUAAAAUAUGACAUCUAAUUAAUGUAAUGAGGAAGAAACUACAUUAAAAAUAAAUGCACACAUCUUAGAAUGUAACAUACUAUCAUGUAUAAAUGAUGGAAUAAAUGUCAUCCAAUCGCCAAAGUAAAGAAUAAGUUUAUGCUCUCAUAGAGCUUACAACCAAAUCGAAUUUAUUGUAUCAGAUCACGGAAUCAUGAUAACCAAAAAGGUAUGCUAAGUGGACUCGAUAAACAAGCCAUUCACUUCAGCCGCAAUCUCCAUAGUAGUGAGCUGAUCCUCCUUAGAAAUCAUCUUGGAGGCAGCAUCAACAUCUAGUUGCGGCAUAGCCGAGGUGACCAUGCGGUUAACCUCCAUGGAGACAUGGGCGUCGUUAGAGACCGCCAAGGCCGCCGCGAUGGGCACCACGGGGGUCGCCUCUAUGGGCACAACAGGGGGCGUAGAGAUCAUCACGGGUGCCGCCAUGGGCGCCGGUGGUGCUCCCUCCUGAACCAAGGCGAGGUGCGUCUCAUGUGCUUUCCAAGCCUUGUAUGCUUCAACGCCCUCCGGUGGUGCGCGACACUAGCGGGAGAAAUACUCCACCGAGCCACAACGGAAGCAGUCCUGAGGCCUCUGCCCUCCCUUGCCCGGCUUGUGCUGCUUAGCCGAGGCGGAGGGUUGAGGGCCCUUCUUCUUGCCCUUGCGGCCCCUCUUCUUCUGUUGAGGCUUGCGGACUUUGAGAGCGUUCACCUCCUGGCGAGAACUCCCCCCAAGUGGUUGCGGGACAAAGUUCUUUUUGAGAACCUCAUCCUACACAUCCUCCACCUGGAGGACGUUAAUCAACUCUGGAUAGCUCAUGUAGUUAUCCUGGCAGUAAUUCAGUGAGGACUGGACCGCGUCAGGGUGGAAAGUGGAUAGGGUUUUCUCAAUCUUCUGGGUGUCAGUAAUCUCAGUACUACACAACCGAAGAAUCGUACAAAUCCGGUGCUGAGCCGAACUGUACUCCCCAACCGUCUUGAAGUCCGCAACCCUCAGACGGAUCCACUCUGCCUCUGCAUGUGGCUUCACAGUGUACUUCAGCCGCUCAAACCACUGCUUAAGAGCGAUCCAAAUGCCAGAAGCACCGCGCUCAGCCAUAUACUCAUCUUUCAGAGUAGGUGACAGGUGAUGACGGAAAAAAUGCAGAGCCUGCACAUUCUUAGUUUUGAAUUUGGGAUCAGUGGGGGCCAGCUGGGCCCCCUUACCGAUCGCCCUCAGGAGGGUUUUGCCCUGGAGAAAGAUCUCACAGUCUGAGGACCAUGGCACGUAGUUCAGCCCUAUGUGGCCAACUCAGUAAACUUCUUGUUGACAAUUCCGGCCAUCUGCGAUUUAUGCAAAAAUCAUGAGAUUACAACAGGUAAUCUUUUGCACAAAUGCGAUAAUGAUAAACUUAUUCAAUAAAAAUGACAUUCCAGUAUUUAAAACAUGUUAUUAUAUGAUUUACUUAAUGAUCAAGAGUGCUGAACAGUUAAUCUACAGUAGUAAAAUCAUACAAUAAAACAUGUUUACAAAAUAUAGCAUGUUAAGCGCAUCUAGUAUGUGAGAACUAGCCCAAAAAUCAAAUUCCCAAGAUAUUUUAAAGCCAAAAUACACAUUUUCAGCGAAAACAGACAAUUCCAGGGGCUUCUACACGAAGUAUUACAACAGGAAUAUAAUGCGCGUAAAAAUAGAAAACUACAGGGGCUAAAAUGCAAAGAACCGCAUGCGCGCGUGAUACAUCCAUUUUGCAUCAUGCUUUUAUAUCAAUAUUUAUUGCUUUAUGGGCUGUUAUUACACAUUAUAUAUCAAUACUUAUGGCUAUUCUCUCUUAUUUUAUAAGGUUUACCAUGAAGAGGGGGAAUGCCGGCAGCUGGAAUUCUGGUUGGAAAAGGAGCAAACAUUGGAAACCUAUUCCGCACUGCUCCAAAAGACCUGAAACUCCAGAAACUUAUUUUUGGAUUUAAUAAGAAUUAUUGAGCGGAAGAAACACCUCAGGGGCCCACACCCUGGCCAGGAGGGUGGGGGGCGCGCCCACCCCUACUGGGCGCGCCCCUGUCUCCUGGGCCCCUUGGUGGCCCCCUGGUGUCCAUCUUCUUCUAUAUGAAGGCUUUCACCCUGGAAAAAAUUGUGGGCAAGCAUACGGGAUGAAACUCCGCCACCACGAGGCGGAACUUUGACGGAACCAAUCUAGAGCUCCGGCAGAGCUGUUCUGCCGGGGACACUUCCCUCCAGGAGGGGGAAUUCAUCACCAUCGUCAUCACCAAUGAUCCUCUCAUUGGGAGGGGGUCAAUCUCCAUCAACAUGUUCACCAACACCAUCUCCUCUCAAACCCUAGUUCAUCUCUUGUAUCCAAUCUUGUAUCCAAAAUCACAAAUUGGUACCUGUGGUUGCUAGUAGUGUUGAUUACUCCUUGUAGUUGAUACUUAUUGGUUUACUUGGUGGAAGAUCAUAUGUUCAGAUCCUUAAUGUAUAUUAUUACACCGCUAAUUAUGAACAUGAAUAUGCUUUGUGAGUAGUUACGUUUGUUCCUGAGGACAUGGGUGAAGUCUUGCUAUUAGUAGUCAUGUGAAUUUGGUAUUCGUUCGAUAUUUUGAUGAGAUGUAUGUUGUCUUUCCUCUAGUGGUGUUAUGUGAACAUCGACUACAUGACACUUCACCAUUAUUUGGGCCUAGAGGAAGGCAUUGGGAAGUAAUAAGUAGAUGAUGGGUUUCUAGAGUGACAGAAGCUUAAACCCUAGUUUAUGCGUUGCUUCGUAAGGGGCUGAUUUGGAUCCAAAUGUUUAAUGAUGUGGUUAGGUUUACCUUAAUACUUUUGUUGUAGUUGCUGAUGCUUGCAAUAUGGGUUAAUCAUAAGUGGGAUGCUUGUCCAAGUAAGGGCAGUACCCAAGCACCGGUCCACCCACAUAUCAAAUUAUCAAAGUACCGAACGCGAAUCAUAUGAGUGUGAUGAAACUAGCUUGACGAUAAUUCCCAUGUGUCCUCGGGAGCGCUUUUCUCAUUAUAAGAGAUUGUCCAGGCUUGUCCUUUGAUACAAAAAGGAUUGUCCACCUUGCUGUACCUUAUUUACUUUUAUUGCUUGUUACUUGUCACAAUUUAUCUUAUCGCAAACUAUCUAUUACCUACAAUUUUAGUGCUUGCAGAGAAAACCUUACUGAAAACCGCUUAUCAUUUCCUUCUGCUCCUCCUUGGGUUUGACACUCUUACUUAUCGAAAGGACUACGAUAGAUCCCCUACACUUGUGGGUCAUCAAGACUCUUUUCUGGCGCCGUUGCCAGGGAGUGUAGCACUUUUGGUGAGUGGAACUUGGUAAGGAAACAUUUAUAUAGUGUGCUGAAAUUUUCUGUUACUUGUUAGUAUGGAAACUAACCCUUUGAGGGGCUUGUUUGGGGCAUCUUCGCCCCGACCAGUAGAGCAAAGAGUUGCUCCUCAACCUACUGAACCUACUGAAAAUGUUCACUUUGAAAUUCCUUCGGGUAUGAUGGAACAUUUGCAGGAGAUGGAACAUUGCAUCCCGAUUUAUACCUUAUCUUUGUGGAUGAAGUUUGUGGAUUAUUUAAGCUUGCAGGUAUUCCCGAUGAUGUUUUCAAAAGGAAGGUCUUCCCUUUAUAUUUGAAGGGAGAUGCAUUGACAUGGUAUAGGCUAUGUGAUGAUAUGGGAUCUUGGAAUUAUAAACAAUUGAAGUUGGAAUUUCACGAGAAGUUCUAUCCUAUGCAUCUUGUUCAUCGUGAUCGUAAUUACAUAUAUAAUUUCUGGCCUCGCAAAGGAGAAAGCAUCGCUCAAUCUUGGGGGAGGCUUAAGUCAAUGUUAUAUUCAUGCCCCAAUCAUGAGCUCUCCAGAGAAAUGAUUAUUCAAAAAUUUUAUGCUCGGCUUUUUCUCAAUGUUCGCACCAUGCUCGAUACUUCUUGUGCUAGUUCUUAUAUGCUAAAGACUAUUGAAUUCAAAUGGGAUUUAUUGGAAAGAAUUAAACGCAACUCUGAAGAUUGGGGUUCUGACGAUGGUAAGGAGUGAGGUAUGACACCUAAGUUUGAUUGUGUUAAAUAUUUUAUGGAUAUCGAUGUUUUUAAUGGAUUUAGCGCUAAAUAUGGACUUGACUCUGAGAUAGCAGCUUCUUUCUGUGAAUCUUUUGCUACUCACAUUUACCUCCCUAAGGAGAAGUGGUUUAAAUAUAAUUCUCCCAUUGAAGUAAAAGUAGUUGCACCUAUUACAGUUGAAGAAAAGAUUAUUACCUAUAAUGAUCCUAUUGUUCCUACUACUUAUGUUGAGAAACCACCUUUUCCUGUUAGGAUAAAGGAUCAUGCUAAAGCUUCAACUGUUGUUUGUAAGAGUAAUACUAGAACUUAUACACCUCCUGAGCAAAUCAAAGUUGAACCUAGUAUUGCUAUGGUUAAAGAUCUCUUGGAUGAUAAUUUAGAUGGGCAUGUUAUUUACUUCUGUGGUGAAACUGCUAAUAUUGUUAAACCAGAUGCCAAGAUACAUAGACCUGUCGUUGGCAUGCCUGUUAUUUCUGUUAAAAUAAGAGAUCAUUGUUAUCAUGGUUUAUGUGAUAUGGGUGCUAGUGCUAGUGCAAUACCUUAUUCCUUAUACCAAGAGAUUGUGCAUGAUAUUGCACCUGCUGAGUUAGAAGAUAUUGAUGUUACGAUUAAGCUUGCCAAUAGAGAUACUAUUAGGCCCUUUGGGAUUGUUAGAGAUGUUGAAGUCUUGUGUGGGAAGGUCAAAUACCCUGCUGAUUUUCUUGUUCUUGGUUCUCAACAAGAUGACUUGUGUCCCAUUAUAUUUGGUAGACCCUUCUUGAACACUAUUAAAGCUAAGAUUGAUUGUGAAAAGGAUGUUGUUACGAUUGGCUUGGAUGAUAUGACUCAUGAGUUUAAUUUUGCUAAAUUUCAUAGACAACCCCGUGAUAAAGAAUUAGCUAGUAAAGAUGAAAUAAUUGGUCUUGCUUCUAUUGCCGUGCCUCCUACUGAUCCUUUACAACAAUAUUUGUUAGACCAUGAAAAUGAUAUGUUUAUGAAAGAAAGAAGGGAAAUAGAUGAAGUGUUCCUUAAACAGGAACCUAUUCUGAAACAUAACUUACCUGUUGAAAUUCUAGGGGAUCCUCCUCCACACAAGGGUGAUCCCGUGUUUGAGCUAAAACCAUUACCUGAUAAUCUUAAAUAUGCUUAUCUUGAUGAAAAGAAGAUAUAUCCUGUUAUUAUUAGUGCUAACCUUUCAGAGCAGGAAGAGGAAAGAUUAUUGAAAACUCUGAAGAAGCACCGUGCUGCUAUUGGAUAUACUCUGGAUGAACUUAAGGGCAUUAGUCCCAUGUUAUGUCAACACAAAAUUAGUUUGGAGGACGAUGCCAAACCAGUUGGAGAUCCUCAAUGAAGAUUAAAUCCCAAGAUGAAGGAAGUGGUAAGAAAGGAGAUACUAAAGCUCUUUGAGGCAGGUAUAAUUUAUCCCGUUGCUGAUAGUCAUUGGGUAAGCCCUGUCCAUUGUGUCCCUAAAUUUUCUUGUUCUCUCUAAAAACACAGUUACAUCGGCACAUCUAAAGAAAAGCAGUUACAUCGGCGGAGGAAAAUUCAAAAGCGAAAUCAGUAGUUCAGGGUUGUUCCGCAACUCCGCCGGCGAGUCCGGUCCGAGGUUGCGGAGCGAGGGCGAGCGUUGUAGACGAAGUAGUCGAACACGCAAAAGUAGAUGAACACAGAGAAAUAUGAAGGAGACUAGCUUUAUUAAUCAAUGAUCAACUGUUACAAUGAUAGCUCAUCGUUGCUUUAUAUAGGGGGUACGGGGUUAAGGGAUAAGUACCCACUUAAGAUAAAGUGUGGAACCGGGAGAGGCUAUUGUUGGAAAUAUGCCCUAGAGGCAAUAAUAAAAUGGUUAUUAUUGUAUUUCCUUGUUCAUGAUAAUUGUCUAUUAUUCAUGCUAUAAUUGCAUUGACCGGAAACGGCAAUACAUGUGUGAAUACAUAGACCACAACAUGUCCCUAGUGAGCCUCUAGUUGACUAGCUCGUUGAUGAACAGAUGGUCAUGGUUUCCUGACCAUGGACAUUGGAUGUCAUUGAUAACGGGAUCACAUCAUUAGGAGAAUGAUGUGAUCGACAAGACCCAAUCCUAAGCCUAGCACAAGAUCGUGUAGUUCGUAUGCUAAAGCUUUUCUAAAUGUCAAGUAUCUUUUCCUUAGACCAUGAAAUUGUGCAACUCCGGGAUACCGUAGGAAUGCUUUGGGUGUACCAAAUGUCACAAUGUAACUGGGUGGCUAUAAAGGUGCACUACGGGUAUCUCCGAAAGUGUCUGUUGCGUGGUCACGAAUCGAGACUAGGAUUUGUCACUCCGUGUGACGGAGAGGUAUCUCUGGGCCCACUCGGUAGGACAUCAUCAUAAUGUGCACAAUGUGAUCAAGGAGUUAAUCACGGGAUGAUGUGUUACGGAGCGAGUAAACGAGAUUUAACAAGGUAUCGGCAUACCGAUGAUCGAAUCUCGGGCAAGUACUAUAUCGGUAGACAAAGGGAAUUGUAUACGGGAUUGAUUGAAUCCUUGACAUCGUGGUUCAUCCGAUGAGAUCAUCGUGGAACAUGUGGGAGCCAACAUGGGUAUCCAGAUCCCGCUGUUGGUUAUUGGCCGAAGAGUUGUCUCGGUCAUGUCUGCGUGGUUCCCCAACCCGUAGGGUCUACACACUUAAGGUUCGGUGAUGCUAGGGUUAUAGGGAAGGUAUGUACGCGGUUACCGAAUGUUGUUUGGAGUCCCGGAUGAGAUCCAGGACGUCACGAGGAGUCCCGGAAUGGUCCGGAGGUGAAGAUUGAUAUAUUGGAUGAAGGGUUUUGGAGUCCGGAAGUGUUCCGGAGGUACCGGGUGAUGACCAGCAUGACCGAAAGGUGUUUCGGGAGCCCCGACAAGUGUUGGGGGGCUUCAUGGGCCAAGGGGAGGGGGCAAACCAGCCCACUAAGGGGCUGUGCGCCCCCUCACCUAUUCCCACGUGACCAGGGGGUUUGGGGCGCCCCAUCUAGGGUUCCCACCUCCUGUCUUGGGGGCCAAGUCACCCAAAGGGGAGAUCCCAUCUGCCCUGGCCGCCGCCCCCCCUAGGGGAAACCCUAGGGCGCCUCCCCCUCUCCCUUCCCCCUAUAUAUAGUGGAGGUUUUGGGGCUGCCCAACACAUGAGUCUCUCUCUCCCAAGGCGCAGCCCUACCUCUCUCCCUCCUCGUCUCUCGUAGUGCUUGGCAAAGCCCUGUUGGAGUACCACACUCCACCACCACCACGCUGUCGUGCUGCUGCUGGACGGAGUCUUCCCCAACCUCUCCCUCUCUCCUUGCUGGAUCAAGGCAUGGGAGACAUCACCGGGCUGCACGUGUGUUGAACACGGAGGCGCUGUUGUUCGGCGCUUAGAUCGGAAUCGACCGCGAUCUGAAUCGCCACGAGUACGACUACCUCAUCCACGUUCUUGCAACGCUUCCGCUUAACGAUCUACAAGGGUAUGUAGAUGCACUCCCCUUCCCCUUGUUGCUAGAUUACUCCAUAGAUUGAUCUUGGUGAUGCGUAGAAAAUUUUGAAUUUCUGCUACGUUCGCCAACAAUGGCAUCAUGAGCUAGGUCUAUUGUGUAGAUUCUAUGCACGAGUAGAACACAAGUUGUUGUGGGCGUUGAUUUUGUUCAAUAUGCUUACCGUUACUAGUCCUAUCUUGUUUCGACGGUAUUGUGGGAUGAAGCGGCCCGGACCGACCUUACACGUACACUUACGUGAGACAGGUUCCACCGACUGACAUGCACUUGUUGCAUAAGGUGGCUAGCGGGUGCCAGUCUCUCCCACUUUAGUCGGAUCGGAUUCGAUGAAAAGGGUCCUUAUGAAGGGUAAAUAGCAAUUGGCAUAUCACAUUGUGGCUUUUGCGUAGGUAAGAAACGUUCUUGCUAGAAACCCAUAGCAACCACGUAAAACAUGCAAACAACAAUUAGAGGACGUCUAACUUGUUUUUGCAGGGUAUGCUAUGUGAUGUGAUAUGGCCAAAAGAAUGUGAUGAAUGAUAUGUGAUGUAUGAGAUUGAUCAUGUUCUUGUAAUAGGAAUCACGACUUGCAUGUCGAUGAGUAUGACAACCGGCAGGAGCCAUAGGAGUUGUCUUUAUUUAUUGUAUGACCUGCGUGUCACUGAAUAACGCCAUGUAAUUACUUUACUUCAUUUCUAAACCGUUAGCCAUAGUAGUAGAAGUAAUAGUUGGCGAGACAACUUCAUGGAGACACGAUGAUGGAGAUCAUGAUGAUGGAGAUCAUGGUGUCAUGCCGGUGAUGAUGAUGAUCAUGGAGCCCCGAAGAUGGAGAUCAGAAGGAGCAAAAUGAUAUUGGCCAUAUCAUGUCACUUUUUGAUUGCAUGUGAUGUUUAUCAUGUUUAUGCAUCUUAUUUGCUUAGAACGACAGUAGUAAAUAAGAUGAUCCCUCAUAAUAAUUUCAAGAAAGUGUUCCCCCUAACUAUGCACCUUGCGAAAGUUCGUUGUUUCGAAGCACCACAUGAUGAUCGGGUGUGAUAGAUUCUAACAUUCACAUACAACGGAUGUAAGCCAGAUUUACACAUGCAAAACACUUAGGUUGACUUGACGAGCCUAGGAUGUAUAGACAUGGCCUCGGAACACAAGAGACCUAAAGGUUGAACAUGAGUCGUAUAGUGGAUACGAUAAACAUGAAGAUGUUCACCGAUGAUGACUAGUCCGUCUCACGUGAUGAUCGGACACGGCCUAGUUGACUCAGAUCAUGUAUCACUUAGAUGACUAGAGGGAUGUCUAUCUGAGUGGGUGUUCAUAAGAUGAACUUAAUUAUCCUGAACAUAGUCAAAAGGUUUUUGCAAAGUAUGUUGUAGCUCGCGCUUUAGUUCUACUGUUUUAGAUAUGUUCCUAGAGAAAAUUUAGUUGAAAGUUGAUAGUAGCAAUUAUGCGGACUGGGUCCGUAAACUGAGGAUUGUCCUCAUUGCUGCGUAGAAGGCUUAUGUCCUUAAUGCACCACUCGGUGUGCUGAACCUCGAACGUCGUCUGUGGAUGUUGCAAACAUUUUACAUACACGUUUUGAUAACUACGUGAUAGUUCAGUAAUGUUAAACGGUUUAGAAUUGAGGCACCGAAGACGAUUUCGAAAUGUCGCGGAACAUAUGAGAUGUUUCAAGGGCUGAAAUUGGGAUUUCAGGCUCGUGCCCACGUCAAGAGGUAUAAGACCUCCGACGAGUUUCUUAGCCUACAAACUAAGGGAGAAAAGCUCAAUCGUUGAACUUGUACUCAGAUUGUCUGGGCACAACAAUCACUUGAAUCGAGUGGGAGUUAAUCUUCCAGAUGAGAUAGAGAUGUUUCUCCAAAGACAUUGCCACCAAGCUACUAGAGCUUCGUAAUGAACUAUAACAUAUCAGGGAUAGAUAUGAUGAUCCUUGGAAUAUUCGCGAUGUUUGACACCGUGAAAGUAGAAAUCAAGAAGGAGCAUCAAUUGUUGAUGGUUAGUGAAACCACUAGUUUCAAGAAGGGCAAGGGCAAGAAGGGGUACUUCAUGAAAUGGCAAAUCAGUUGCUGCUCCAGUGAAGAAACCCAAGGUUGAACCCAAACCCGAGACUAAGUGCUUAUGUAAUGAGGGAACGGUCACUGAAGCAGAACUACCCUAGAUACUUGGUAGAUGAGAAGGCUGGCAUGGUUGACAGAAGUAUAUUGGAUAUACAUUGUAAUAAAUGUGUACUUUACUAGUACUCCUAGUAGCACCAGGGUAUUAAGAUACCGGUUCGGUUACUAAGUGUUAGUAACUCGAAAUAAAAGAGCUACGGAAUAAACGGAGACUAGCUAAAGGUGAGAUGACGAUGUGUGUUGGAAGUGUUUCCAAGGUUGAUGUGAUCAAGCAUCGCCUGCUCCCUCUACCAUCGAGAUUGGUGUUAAACCUAAAUAAUUGUUAUUUGGUGUUUGCGUUGAGCAUAGACAUGAUUGGAUUAUGUCUAUCGCAAUACGGUUAUUCAUUUAAGGAGAAUAAUGGUUACUCUAUUUAUUUGAAUAAUACCUUCAAUGGUCUUGCACCUAAAAGAAUGGUUUAUUGAAUCUCGAUCAUAGUGAUACACAUGUUCAUGCCAAAAGAUAUAAUAUAGUAAUGAUAGUACCACCUGCUUGUGGCACUGCCAUUUGAGUCAUAUUGGUAUAAAACACAUGCAGAAGCUCCAUGUUGAUGGAUCUUUGGACUCACUCGUUUUUGAAAAGUUUGAGACAUGCGAACCAUGUCUAUUGGUAUGUACGCAUGAAGAAACUCCAUGCAGAUGGAUCGUUUGGACUCACUUGAUUCUAAAUCACUUGAGACAUGCAAAUCAUACCAGAUGGGCAAGAUGACUGAAAAGCCUCGUUUUCAGUAAGAUGGAACAAGAGAGCAACUUGUUGGAAGUAAUACAUUUUGAUGUGUGCUGUCCAAUGAGUGCUGAGGCACACAGUGGAUAUUGUUAUGUUCUUACUUCACAGAUGACUUGAGUAGAUGCUGAGUAUAUUUACUUGAUGAAACAUAAGUCUGAAUUAUUGAAAGGUUCAAGUAAUUUCAGAGUGAAGUUGAAGAUCAUCGUGACAAGAGGAUAAAAUGUCUAAGAUAUGAUCAUAAGAGAUGAAUACCUGAGUUACGAGUUUGGUGCACAAUUAAGACCUUGUGGAAAUUGUUUCACAACUAAUACCGCCUAGAACACCAUAGUGUGAUGGUGUGUCCGAACAUCAUAGCAGCACCCUAUUGGAUAUGGUGCAUACCAUGAUGUCUCUUAUGGAAUUACCACUAUCGUUCAUGGGUUAGGCAUUAGAGACAACCACAUUCACUUUAAAUAGGGCACCACAUAAUUCCGUUGAGAUGACACCAUAUGAACUAUGGUUUAGAGAAACCUAAGCUGUCAUUUCUUGAAAGUUUGGGGCUGCGACGCUUAUGUGAAAAAGUUUCAUCCUGAUAAGCUCGAACCCAAAGCGGAUAAAUACAUCUUCAUAGGACACCCAAAAAUAGUUGGGUAUACCUCCUAAUUCAGACCCGGAAGCAAAAGUGAUUGUUUCUAGAAAUUGGUCCUUUCUCGAGGAAAAGUUUCUCUCAAAAAAAUUGAGUGGGAGGAUGGUGGAGACUUGAUGAGGUUAUUGAACCAUCACUUCAACCAGUGUGUAGCUGGGCACAGGAAUUUGUUCCUGUGGCACCUGCACCAAUUGAAGUGGAAGUUGAUGAUAGUGAUCAUGAAACUUCAGAUCAAGUCACUACCAAACCUCGUAGGACGACAAGGACAGGUACUGCUUCAGAGUGGUACGGUAAUCCUGUCUUGGAGGUCAUGUUGCUAGACAACAAUGAACCUAUGAGCUAUGGAGAAGCGAUGGUGGGCCCGGAUUCCGACAAAUGGCUCGAGGCCAUAAAAUCCGAGAGAGGAUCCAUGUAUGAAAACAAAGUAUAGACUUUGGAAGAACUACUUGAUGGUCGUAAGGCUGUUGGGUACAGAUGGAUUUUAAAAGGAAGCCGAACAAUGAUGGUAAGUAUCACCAUUACGAAAGCUCGACUUGUCGUUAAGAUGUUUUCCGACAAGUUCAAGGAGUUGACUAUGAUGAGACUUUCUCACUCGUAGCGAUGCUAAGAGUCUGUUGGAAUUAUAUUAGCAAUUACUGCAUGAUUUAUGAAAUCUUGCAGAUAGGAUGUCAAAACAUUGUUUCCACGACGAUAUUCUUGAGGAAAGGUUGUAUGUGAUACAACCAGAAGGUUUUGUCAAAUCCCGAAAGAUGCUAACAAGUGUGCAAAGCUCCAACAAUCCUUCUAAGGACUGGAGUAAGCAUCUCGGAGUUGGAAUAUACACUUUGAUGAGAUGAUCAAAGAUUUCGGGUUUAUACAAAGUUUAUGAGAAACUUGUAUUUCCAAAGAAGUGAGUGGGAGCACUAUAGCAUUUCUGAUGCGUAUAUGUUGUUGACAUAUUGUUGAUCGGAAAUGAUGUAGAACUUCUGGAAAGCAUAUAGGGUUAUUUGAAAAUUGUUUUUCAAUGGAAAACCUGGAUUAAGCUACUUAAACAUUGAACAUCAAGAUCUAUAAGGAUAGAUCAAAAUGCUUAAUAGUACUUUCAAAUGAGUACAUACUAUGACAAGAUUUUGAAGGAGUUCAAAAUAGAUCAGCAAAGAAGGAGUUCUUGGCUGUGUUAUAUGGUGUGAGUAUUGAGUAAGACUCAAGACAUGACCGCAGAAGAGAGAGAAAGGACGAAGGUCGUCCCCUAUGCUUCAGACGUAGGCUCUAUAGUAUGCUAUGCUGUGUACCGCACCAGAAGUGUGCCUUGCCAUGAGUCAGUCAAGGGGUACAAGAGUGAUCCAGGAAUGGAUCACAGGACAACGGUCAAACCUAUCCUUAGUAACUAGUGGACUAAGGAAUUUUCUUGAUUAUGGAGGUGGUAAAAGAGUUCGUCGUAAAGGGUUACGCUGAUGCAAACUUUGACACUAAUCCGGAUUAUUCUAAGUAGUAAACCGGAUUCGUAUAGUAGAACAGUUAUUUGGAAUAGCUCCAAAUAGAGCGUGGUAGCUGCAUCUAGGAGAUGACAUAGAGAUCCGUUGACAUAGAGCAAAGCACACACGGAUCUGAAAGGUUCAGAUCCAUUGACUAAUAACCUCUCUCACACGCGACAUAUGAUCAAACUCCAUGGGUGUCGAUUCAUUACAAUCACAUUGUGAUGUGAACUAGAUUAUUGACUCUAGUGCAAGUGGGAGACUGUUGGAAAUAUGCCCUUGAGGCAAUAAUAAAAUGGUUAUUAUUGUAUUUCCUUGUUCAUGAUAAUUGUCUAUUAUUCAUGCUAUAAUUGCAUUGACCGGAAACCGCAAUACAUGUGUGAAUACAUAGACCACAACAUGUCCCUAGUGAGCUUCUAGUUGACUAGCUCGUUGAUCAACAGAUGGUCAUGGUUUCCUGACCAUGGACAUUGGAUGUCAUUGAUAACGGGAUCACAUCAUUAGGAGAAUGAUGUGAUGGACAAGACCCAAUCCUAAGCCUAGCACAAGAUCGUGUAGUUCGUAUGCUAAAGCUUUUCUAAAUGUCAAGUAUCUUUUCCUUAGACCAUGAGAUUGUGCAACUCCCGGAUACCGUAGGAAUGCUUUGGGUGUACCAAACAUCACAACAUAACUGGGUGGCUAUAAACAUGCACUACGGGUAUCUCUGAAAGUGUCUGUUGGGCUGGCACGAAUCGAGACUGUGAUUUGUCACCCCGUGUGACGGAGAGGUAUCUCUGGGCCCACUCGGUAGGAAAUCAUCAUAAUGUGCACAAUGUGAUCAAGGAGUUGAUCACGGGAUGAUGUGUUACGAAAUGAGUAAAGAGACUUGCCGGUAACGAGAUUGAACAAGUUAUCGGCAUACCGACGAUCGAAUCUCGGGCAAGUACUAUACGGUAGACAAAGGGAAUUUUGUACGGGAUUGAUUGAAUCCUUGACAUCAUGGUUCAUCCGAUGAGAUCAUCGUGGAACAUGUGGGAGCCAACAUGGGUAUCCAGAUCCCGCUGUUGGUUAUUGGCCGGAGAGUUGUCUCGGUCAUGUCUGCAUGGUUCCCAAACCCGUAGGGUCUACACACUUAAGGUUCAGUGACGCUAGGGUUAUAGGGAAGGUAUGUAUGCGGUUAACGAAUGUUGUUCGGAGUCCCGGAUGAGAUCCCGAACGUCGCGAGGAGUCCCAGAAUGGUCCGCAGGUGAAGCUUGAUAUAUUGGACGAAGGGUUUUGGAGUCCGGAAGUGUUCCGGAGGUACCGGGUGAUGAUCAGCAUGACCAAAAGGUGUUUCGGGAGCCCCGACAAGUGUUGGGGGGCUUCAUGGGCCAAGGGGAGGGGGCAAACCAGCCCACUAAGGGGUUGUGCUCCCCCCUCACAUAUUCCCACGUGACCAGGGGGUUUGGGGCGCCCCAUCUAGGGUUCCCACCUCCUGGCUUGGGGGCCAAGUCACCCAAAGGGGAGAUCCCAUCUGCCCUGGCCGUCGCCCCCCUAGGGGAAACCCUAGGGCGCCUCCCCCUCUCCCUUCCCCCUAUAUAUAGUGGAGGUUUUGGGGCUGCCCAACACAUGAGUCUUUCUCUCCCAAGGCGCAGCCCUACCUCUCUCCCUCCUCGUCUCUCGUAGUGCUUGGCGAAGCCCUGCUGGAGUACCGCGCUCCUCCACCACCACCACGCCGUCAUGCUGCUGCUGGAUGGAGUCUUCCCCAACCUCUCCCUCUCUCCUUGCUGGAUCAAGGCAUGGGAGACGUCACCGGGCUGCACGUGUGUUGAACACGGAUGCACCGUUGUUCGGCGCUUAGAUCGGAAUCGUCCGCGAUCUGAAUCGCCACGAGUACGACUACCUCAUCUGCGUUCUUGCAACGCUUCCGCUUAGCGAUCUACAAGGGUAUGUAGAUGCACUCCCCUUCCCCUCGUUGCUAGAUUACUCCAUAGAUUGAUCUUGGUGAUUCAUAGAAAAUUUUGAAUUUCUGCUACGUUCCCCAACAGCUAUCCCGUGCGAUACGCACGCAGCCGCCAGCCCCACGACGUGGGCCGGUUUCCCAACAAGGGUAACCCUUGUAAAGGUUACUCACACAUUCUUUGAUGGUGAUAAGUGACGUAUUGCAUAUGUGAUACUUGUCACAAUUAGAAGUUUUGGGUUUUUCUUCAUAUAUUUAAUAUUUUUUUCUUGAGCCACACAUCUAAAUCUCGAAUCGUUUUCAUAAGUGGGUUUCUCGAACCAUUUUCAUAAGUGGGUUUCUUGCAUUGAGAUUUCAGAGACAAAAUCCCAUGUUAACAGGUUCAACCGAUUUUUUUUCUUGAAAAUACCACGGGAAGAAGAAGAAAAACAUAAAUAAAAAUAGGGAAGCACACUUCAGGCACAUGUGUGCUUCACGCUGCCCCCCAAAAGGGCAAAAGGCCGAAAAGAAAAAAGAAAAACAGAAGCAUAGUUGAAUUUUUCUUUUGAAUUCCACAAAAAAAGAGUUUUUCUUUUGAAAACACAUUUGUGUUUUUCACUUUUCAUGAAGCACACAUGUGCUUUCCAUUUUCCGAAAAAGCACAAAAGGUGUGCUUCAUGCGGGUGCACAACUACGUAUCACCACGAAACACACUUGUUUUCACUUACCGAAAAGUACAGGUGUGCUAACGCGUAAGCUAUGCUUUUCACUUUUGAGAAAACAUAGUUGUGCUUGUCGCGAAAGCACAUCUAUGAGAAGCGUAGCUGUGUUUUUUCACUUUCAGAAAGCAUAGUGGCAAGUUCAUGUGAAAGCACAAAUAUGUUUCACACCUAUGUCUUUUACACAACGUGCUUCAUGCAAGAAAUCCAACAUAAAUAAAUAAACAGAAUCAAAUUAUAUUUUUAGGAAACCUAGGAAAAAUCACGAAAUAUUCAAAACCCCCACAAAAUCUAAAAAACCAAACACAUGCAUGAAUUAAAAAUUGUUUCCUGUGGGUGUGCACAACUAGCCACACAUGGUGGCGGUUGGGCACACCAGCGCGGCGCACCCCCGCGCGCCCGCCUGCGGCACCCUACCCGUAGGGGAAAACACAUAAGAGAGCUUGUAUAACGCCUCAGAUCACAUCAAACGGAUUCAGAGAAGACAAUUCUCACAUGCACCUGGCGAGGCCGAAGCUGGCCGAUCUUCGUCGGUCUGAACUGGACCUGGAGGACCAAAAGCACAACCGCAUCAUACACUCCGAAGGGCAGUGCCGUCGAGACAAAUCUAUAAAAGAAGAAACCUAGGAUAAAUCACACUCCACGGCAAUGAUGGCAAGAAGUACCACUUCAACAUGGACGACACAUGGAUUACUUAUUCCAUGCCAACAAUGGUGCCAUCGCCUAACCACCGAUGAGUAGGGACCAAAACCUGGACUACAAACUUCAACCUACUAACACUGGUCUGAUACCAACUUGUACACUACAUGAAUCAGGUAAUUUGUCAUCUCUGGACCUCUUUGCCGCCAGCUUUUCAUCGGGGAAGACGGAAAAGACCAAAUUUACCGUCGGCUGCUAACGGCAAAGAACAGUUGACGACAAAAUACCGGAAAAACUGACGGCAAAGCCCCAUUGUCGUUUGUGCUGCUGCAGGCUGAUGGAAAAGCCCCAUUAUCGGUAGUGAAACAGACAGACCUCAGGGUAGGGGGUCCCGAGCUGUGGAUCUCGGAUCUAUGGGUAACAGGGGACGAAGUAGACAUUAUUUACCCGGAUCGGCCCCCUCGAAGAGGUAAUACCCUACGUCCUGCUUGAUUAUAUUGAUGGUGAUAUAUCGAGUACAUGCUUGAUCUACCUCGAGAUUGCAAGUAGUGUUCUAACCCUAACGCUAGGUGGUUGUAAUUGUGACCCUCCCUCUAUGGACUAGACCUCCCAGUUUACAUAGACACUAGGGUACCUUAGCUUACAAAUGGCCGGUUGCCAAUCUAGUAUCACAUGCGCCGCCCAGCCGAUGUAGGUCUUGGAGUACACGUCAAGUCUUCGGUAGAGUCCAUCUUAAUCGCGCUGAAGUAUGAGGCUUCCAGACUCCUUUCUUAGAAAUGGUGGGCCAUAAGCUCGGCCCAUGGACUGUGGGCCGACUAGGUCGGUACCCCCUAGUCCAAGCCCAUCCCGACUAUCAUAAAUUAAAAUAAAACAGAUCCUUCACGGUCACUACACAUAUACUUGUGCUAUGUUCCUUUGUUAAUUGCCAUGGAGCCAAAGAUAACUAUCGUGAUACAAAUUCCUUAACACUAUACCCGGCUAUCAACCAGGGGCUUGGAUUUAACCCAACGCUCACAUAAAAGUCCAAACAGAUUGUUUGAUGUCUUGGAUGUUGCAUUGUAUGAAUCAAUUUUGAACAUGAUUUUGGUUAAUAGUUGGGUUGCCCGACUGUCGGUGUACAAAAGUAUGGGUACUUCUGUACCCCUUACUUGUGCACGGACGAUCGCAGCCACCCCUACAGCAAGGCUUGGCAGGGCAGAGGAAGACAUCAGAAGGCAAGACAAGUACAAAGAAUAUCAAGACAGAUGCCCGGAGUAGCAAGUAGCAAGAGGCAAGCAGGGCCACGCCCGGCAACAAGCCUUGCCGAGAAACCUGCGCGGCCCCCGGCAAGCCCCUUGCCGGGGCACCUUGCGAAGAGACCAGCAAGGCCACCACCCUUGGGCUUGAGAGCUCUAACACCAUCGGCAAUAUUAAAGAUCAAGAUUUGAAGAGCACAUGCAUGGUAGCAUGCGGCUCCUCACGAAGAUCGACAACCCACGGGUCCACGUGGGGUCAAAUGAUGAAGACCCCCGGCAAGACCCUUGCCGAGGACGACUCCAAGGCCCCUGGCAAGCCUUGCCAGGGACGAUCGCUAGGCCGCAGCCAGGCCCACGCUCGGCAGGGUUCCUCCACCUCACCACCACUCCAACACGGCGAUGAUCGUGCCAACGAAGCAGGUGCGUGCGUGGCAGCAUGCAGAUCUUCGUGGAAGCCUAUCGCUUUGCCAACACAACAGCUGGUUGGCCAGCGUGGCACUGCAUACCUCAUCGACCCAGACGCGUGGCAAGGCGAGGGGAAGCGACGAAGGACGGGAUGGCCUCUGUUGCCAUCCCCAAUAAAGCGAGAGGAAACGUAUGUGUCACAUUAAAUGCGCUUGUCUUAUGCUAAUCGAGCGAUAAGCUCAGACCACUGUAGAUUGCCACCUCAUGUGUGCCACUGUGGCAACCCCUUUGUGUACAAAAGGAGGCCCGAGGCACAGAGAGAGAGAGCGGAUUCGGACUUUUGAACAAGGCACAUACUGUAGCUAGUUCAAAAGCUUAAGAACACUCAGAUAACCAGAUAAAGCAGGACUAGGGUAUUAUGCAUCUCCGCGGCCCAAACCUGGAUAAAAACCCUAUGUGUGCUAACAACUCGACCUGCUCUCCGUGCAACCAAUCCCUCGCCGAAUGUAGAAGGGAUCCUAGUGACCCCAUAGGUGAUCGGUUUCCCCGACACCGAUUCUUGUGCUUACCUCUUACGUUCUACUCUGUUUGACUAAGAGUGUAAUGGGAGAACCACUGUGCUACUUGUGAGCUGUGUUGGGAUUUCCUCGAAGAGGAGAGGAUGAUGCAAUAUAGUACAAAUAAGUAUUUCCCUUAGUUAUGAAACCAAGCUUAUCAAUCCAGUCGGAGAACCAAACAACACUAUGUAAACAACACCUGCAGGCAAACAACAAAUACUUACAACCCAAUGCGUAUAGGGGUUGCCAAUCCCUCAACCGUUACGAGCGAGAUUAAACGAUAUAGUUAUUGAUAGAUAGGCCAAACAAAAAUACAAACUAAAAUAAAUAAAAUAAAAAUACAGCAAGGUAUUUUUGGUUUUAAUAUAUGAUAGAAAAUAUACCCGGGGCGAUAAUUUUCACUAGAGGUUUCUCUCAUAAAAAUAGUAUACGGUGGGUAGACAAAUUACUAUUGGACAAUUGACAGAAAAGCUAAUAAUUAUGACGAUAACCAACACAAUGAUCAUGUAUAUAGGCAUCACGUCUGAGACAAGUAGACCGAAACAAUUCUGCAUCUACUACUAUUACUCCACACAUCGUCCGCUAUCCAGCAUUGCAUCUAGUGUAUUAAGUUCAUGGAAGAACGGAGUAACGCCUUAAUCAAGAUGACAUGAUGUAGACAAGAUAAACUCAUGUAUGAAAUAGAUCCCAUCUUUUUAACCUUAAUAACAACGAUACAUGUGUGUCAUGUCCCUUUCUAUCACUGGGAUUGAGCAUCACAAGAUCGAACCCAUCACAAAGCACCUCUUCCCAUGGCAAGAUAAAUCAAUCUAGUUGGCCAACCCAUACCAAUAAAUAGGAUAAAAAAUACGGGGCUAUAACAAUCAUGCAUAAAAGAGUUUAGAGAAAACUCAAAUAAUAUUCAUGGAUAGAUCUGAUCAUAAAAUCACAAUUCAUCAGAUUCCAACAAACACACCGCAAAAAGUCAUUACAUCUAAUAGAUCUCCAAGAACACCGAGGAGAACAUUGUAUUGAAGAGCAAAAAGAGAGAAGAAGUCAUCUAGCUACUAACUAUGGACCAAUAUAUAGGUCCGUGGUAAACUACUCAUGCAUCAUCGGAGGGCAGCAAAGAUGAUGAAGAGCCCACUCCAUGAUCUAAUACCCCUCUGACAGAGUGCCAUAAAAGGCCUCUAGAUGGGAUCUCGUGGUUCUGGAAAUUGCGGUGGCUGAAAAAGCAUUUCGUGGACUCCUCUGUUGGUUCUACGAUUUUAGAGAAUUUAGAGAGGCGGAGCUAGGUCAAACGGAGCCUCAUGGGCGGCACCACCCAUCAGGGCGCGCUUACGCGCAUGUGCGCACCCUAGUGGGUGGUGGGCCCAUGCUCCCACGUCUAGUUUUCUCCUGAAGCUUCUAGUGUCUCUUUUGUCUAGAAAAAUCUCCAAAAUGUUUCAUGGUAUUUGGACUUUGUUUGGUAAUGGUAUUCUACGAAACCAAAAGCAAGCAAAAAACAACAACUCGCACUGGGCACUAAGUUAAUAGGUUAGCCCAAAAAAUGAUAUUAAUUGCUUGUAUGUGUAUACAAAACAUCCAAGGUUGAUAAUAGAAUAUCAUGGGAAAAUAAAAAAUUAUAUAUACGUUGCUGACGUAUCACACUACGAUUGUGCUUCCAGAUUGGAUGGUAAAGCGCCCCAGUGGAGAAAGCUGAAGACCGAGUGUGCUGGUAUGUGUAAACUGAUCGGUGAUCCGAUAACAUUGUCUAACAUAAGAUCGUUUUGGAGAUCUUACGUGUCAAACAAGGGGAUUUUAUUAGAAAUAGCCGAAGUGUGUGGCAGUUUAGACCUCGGCCACAACCGAACGACUCACACACCGGGGGCUACUAACUAGCUCCCACAGUCAAGCUCCUACAACUAAGUGAAAAUUAUAAAGCAAUCAUAGUACUAUUGCCUAGUUUUCAUAUUCAUGGACCGCAUGAGGGAACCGAGACGUAGAUUAAGGGUUAAAUUUCUAUGGAAACUCCCUUUGUACUUUGUACAAAGGGGGUGAAAGCUAACGGCAACCUGAUGUCUACUAUGCAACCUUCUUCUUGUAGACGUUGUUGGGCCUCCAAGUGCAGAGGUUUGUAGGACAGUAGCAAAUUUCCCUCAAGUUGAUGACCUAAGGUUUAUCAAUCCGUGGGAGGCAUAUGAUGAAGAUGGUCUCUCUCAAACAACGCUGCAACCAAAUAACAAAGAGUCUCCUGUGUCCCCAACACACCCAAUACAAUGGUAAAUUGUAUAGGUGCACUAGUUCAUCGAAGAUAUGGUGAGACAAGUGCAAUAUGGAUGGUAUAUAAAAGGUUUUUCUAAUCUAAAAUUAUAAAAACAACAAGGUAACAAGUGGUAAAAGUGAGCGAAAACGGUAUUGCAAUGCUUCGAAACAAGGCCUAGGGUUCAUACUUUCACUAGUGCAAGUUCUCUCAACAAUAAUAACAUAAUUAGAUCAUAUAACAAUCCCUCAACAUGCAACAAAGAGUCACUCCAAAGUCACUAAUAGCGGAGAACAAAUGAAGAGAUUAUUGUAGGGUACAAAACCACCUCAAAGUUAUUCUUCCCGAUCAAUCCAUUGGCUAUUCUUAUAAGUGUCACAAACAACCCUAGAGUUCAUAAUAAAAUAACACCUUAAGACACACAUCAACCAAAACCCUAAUGUCACCUAGAUACUGCAAUGUGAGCACAAGUAUCCGCGGGUAUGAUUAUAUGAUAUGCAUCACACAAUCUAAGGUUCAUCUAUUCAAACCAACACAAAGUACUUCAUAGAGUGCCCCAAAGUUUCUACCGGAGAGUCAAGACGAAAACGUGUGCCAACCCCUAUGCAUAGAUUCCCAAGGUCAUGGAACCCGCAAGUUGAUCACCAAAAAAUACGUCAAAUGGAUCAAUAGAAUACCCCAUUGUCACCACGUGUAUCCCAUGCUAGACAUACAUCAAGUGUUCUCAAAUCCUUAAAGACUCAAUCCAAUAAGAUAACUUGAAAGGGAAAACUCAAUCCAUUACAAGAAGGUAGAGGGGGAGAAACAUCAUAAGAUCCAACUAUAAUAGCAAAACUCAUGAUACAUCAAGAUUGUGCCAUAUCAAGAAUACGAGAGGGAGAGAUCGAACACAUAGCUACUGGUACAUACCCUCAGCCUCGAGGGUGAACUACUCCCUCCUCGUCAUGGAGAGUGCCGGGAAGAUGAAGAUGGCCACCGGUAAUGGAUCCCCCCUCCGGCAGGGUGCCGGGACAGGGCCCCGAUUGGUUUUUGGUGGCUACAGAGGCUUACAAUGGUGGAACUCCCAAUCUAGGUUAUGUUAUAGAGAUUUGGGGAUUUAUAGGAGAGGUUGGCGUCGAGAACAAGUCAGGGGGCCCCACAAGGAGUCCACGAGGCAGGGGCGCACCCUAGGGGGGCGCCCUCCACCAUCGUGGGGCCCAUGGGACUCCCUUCUGAUAACUCUUUGUUCCAGUAUUUUUUUAUAUUUUCCAGAAAAAUAUCCAUUGAUUUUCGGCGCAUUCCGAGAACUUUUAUUUCUGCACAAAAACAAUACCAUGGUAGUUCUGCUGAAAACAACGCCAGUUCGGGUUAGUUCUAACCAAAUCAUACCAAAAUCAUGUAAAAAUAUUGUAAACAUGGCAUGAAUACAUAAAAAAUUAUAGAUAAGUUGGAGACGUAUCAAGCAUCCCCAAGCUUAAUUCCUGCUUGUCCUCGAGUAGGUAAAUGAUAGAAACAUAAUUUUUGAUGUGGAAUGCUACCUAACAUAUUUAUCAAUGUAAUCUUCUUUAUUGUGGCAAGAAUAUUCAGGUUCAUAAGAUUCAAAACAAAAGAUGAAUAUUGACAUAAAAAACGAUAAUACUUCAAGCAUACUAAUAAAGCAAUCAUGUCUUCUCAAAAUAACAUGGCCAAAGAAAGCUAUCCCUACAAAAUCAUAUAGUCUGGAUAUGCUCUAUCUUCGUCACACAAAAUAUUUAAAUCAUGCACAACCCCGAUGACAAGCCAAGCAACUAUUUCAUACUUUUGCUGUUCUCAAACUUUUUCAAUCUUCACGCAAUACAUGAGCGUGAGCCAUGGAUAUAACACUAUAGGUGGAAUAGAAUGGUGGUUGUGGAGAAGACAAAAAGAAGGAGAUAGUCUCACAUCAACUAGGCGUAUCAACGGUCUAUGGAGAUGCACAUCAAUAGAUAUCAAUGUGAGUGAGUAGGGAUUGCGAUGCAACAGAUGCACUGGAGCUAUAAGUGUAUGAAAGCUAAAAAAGAAACUAAGUGGGUGUGCAUCCAACUUGCUUGCUCAUGAAGACCUAGGGCAAUUUGAGGAAGCCCAUCAUUGGAAUAUACAUGCCUAGUUCUAUAAUGAAAAAUUCCCACCAGUAUAUGAAAGUGACAACAUAGGAUACUCUUUAUCAUGAAGAUCAUGGUGCUACUUUGAAGCACAAGUGUGGUAAAAGGAUAGUAGCAUUGCCCCUUCUCUCUUUUUCUCUCAUUUUUUUGUUUUUUGUUUUUUUGGGCCUCUUUUUUUUCAUCCGGAGUCUCAUCCCGACUUGUGGGGGAAUCAUAGGCUCCAUCAUCCUUUCCUCACUGGGACAAUGCUCUAAUAAUGAAGAUCAUCACACUUUUAAUUACCUACAAUUCAAGAAUUAUAGCUCGAUACUUAGAACAAAAUAUGACUCUAUCUGAAUGCCUCUGGCGGUGUACCGGGAUGUGCAAUGACUCAUUAGUGACAUGUAUGAGAAAAUCAUGAAAGGUGGCUUUGCCACAAAUAUGAUGCAACGACAUGAUCAUGCAAAGCAAAAUGACAAUGAUGAAUUGUGUCAUAAUAAACGGAAUGGUGGAAAGUUGCAUGUCAAUAUAUCUAAGAAUGGCUAUGGAAAUGCCAUAAUAGGUAGGUAUGGUGGCUGUUUUGAGGAAGGUAUAUGGUGGGUGUAUGGUACCUGUGAAAGUUGCACGACACUAGAGAGGCUAGCAAUGGUGGAAGGGUGAGAGUGCAUAUAAUCCAUGGACUCAACAUUAUUCAUAAAGAACUCACAUACUUGUUGCAAAAAUCUAUUAGUCAUUGAAACAAAGUACUACGCGCAUGCUCCUAGGGGGAUAGAUUGGUAGGAAAAGACCAUCGCUCGUCCCCGACCGCCACUCAUAAGGAAGACAAUCAAUAAAUAAAGCAUGCUCCAACUUCAUCACAUAAUGGUUCACCAUACGUGCAUGCUACGGGAAUCACAAACUUUAACACAAGUAUCUCUCUAAUUCACAACUAAUCUAUUAACAUGACUCUCAUAUCACCAUCCUCAUAUCUCAAAACAAUCAUAAGGAAUCAUACUUCUCAUAGUAUUCAAUGCACUUCAUAUGAAAGUUUUUAUUAUAUCUCUCUUGGACUAAAUUCAUAACCAAAGAAAAUUACCAUGUUGUUUAAGAUUAUCAAAAUAAUAUAAGUGAAGCAUGAGAGUUCAUCAAUUUCUCCAAAAUGAAACCACCGUCAUGCUCUAAAAGGAUAUAAGUGAAGCACUAGAGCAAAUGACAAACUACUCCGAAAGAUAUAAGUGAAGAUCAAUGAGUAGUUGAAUAAUUAUGUAACUAUGUGAAGACUCUCUAACAUUUAAGAAUUUCAGAUCUCGGGAUAUUAUUCAAACAACAAGCAAAACAAAAUAAAAGAAAAUGACGCUCCAAGCAAAACACAUAUCAUGUGGUGAAUAAAAAUAUAGCUCCAAGUAAAAUUACCGAUAGACGAAGACGAAAGAGGGGAUGCCAUCCAGGGCAUCCCCAAGCUUAGGCUCUUGGUUGUCCUUGAAUAUUAUAUUCAGGUGCCUUGGGCAUCCCCAAGCUUAGGCUGUUUCCACUCCUUAUUCCAUAGUCCAUCGAAUCUUUACUCAAAACUUGAAAACUUCACAACACAAAACUCAACAGAAAACUCGUAAGCUCCGUUAGUAUAAGAAAAUAAAUCACCACUUUUGGUACUGUUGUAAACUAAUUCUAAAUUCAUAUUGGUGUUGUAUCUACUAUAUUCCAACUUCUCUAAGGUUAAUACCCUCCGAUACUACUCAUAGAUUCAUCAAAAUAAGCAAACAACACAAAGAAAACAGAAUCUGUCAAAAACAGAACAAUAUGUAGUAAUCUGUAACUCUUGAAUACUUCUGUAACUCCAAAAAUCCAACCAAAUUAGGAAAACCUGAGCAAUUUGUGUACCAAUACAUAGAAAAAAUAAUCAUAUCAAAAUCAUGUUUAUGCGAAUUAUCAAAACUAAUUUACUGGGUGGAAAAGUUUCUGAUUUUCAGCAGGAUCAACAUAACUAUCACCGUAAGCUAUCCCAAAGGUCUUACUUGGCACUUUAUUGAAACAAAAGCUAUAAAACAUGAUUACUACAGUAGCUUAAUCAUGUUAACUCACCAAAACAGUAGGGGUAAAUGUUGGGUUGUCCCCCAGCAAGCGCUUUUCUUUAAUGCCUUUUUAGCUAGGCAUGAGGAUUUCAAUGAUGCUCACAUAAAAGAUAUGAAUUGAAACACAAAGAGAGCACCAUGAAGACUAUGACUAGCACAUUUAAGUCUAACCCACUUCCUAUGCCUAGGGAUUUUGUGAGCAAACAACUUAUGGGAACAAGAAUCAACUAGCAUAGGAAAGGAAAACAAGCAUAACUUCAAGAUUUUCAACACAUAGAGAGGAAACUUGAUAUUAUUGCAAUUCCUAAAAGCAUAAAUUCCUCCCUCAUAAUAAUUUUCAGUAGCAUCAUGAAUGAAUUGAACAAUAUAACUAUCACAUAAAGCAUUAUUUUCAUGAUGCAUAGGCAUAUAAUUUUUAUUACUCUCCACAUAAGCAAAUUUAUUUUCAUGAAUAGUAGUGGGAGCAAACUCAACAAAAUAACUAUCAUGUGAGGCAUAAUCCAAUUGCAAAUUAAAAUCAAGAUGACAAGUUUCAUGGUUAUCAUUAAUCUUUAUAGCAUACAUGUCAUCACAAUAAUAAUCAUAGUUAGCAACUUUGUUCUCAUAAUCAAUUGGAACCUCUUCCAAAAUAGUGGAUUCAUCACUAAAUAAAGUCAUGACCUCUCCAAAUACACUUUCAUAAUUAUCACAAUAAGAUUCAACACCCUCCAAAAUAGUGGGAUCAAUACUACCUACAGUUGGCACUCUUCCAAACCCACUUUCAUCAAUAUAAUCAUCAUAAAUAGUUGGAAUGCUUUCAUCAUAAUAAAUAUUCUCAUCAAAACUUGGGGGACUAAAAAUAUCAUAUUCAUCAAACAUUGCAUCCCCAAGCUUGUGGCUUUGCAUAUCAUUAGCAUCAUGGAUAUUCAAGGAAUUCAUACUAACAACAUUUCAAUCAUGCUCAUCAUUCAAAAAUUUAGUGCCAAACAUUUUAUCGACUUCUUCUUCUAGCAUUUGAGCACAAUUUUCCUUUUCAUCAUUUUCGGGAAAGACAUUAAAAAGAUGAAGCAUAUGUGGCACCCUCAAUUCCAUUUUUUGUAGUUUUAUUAUAUAGACUAAACUAGUGAUAAAACAAUAAACUAAAAGAUUCAAUUGGAAGAUCUAAAGAUAUACCUUCAAGCACUAACCUCCCCGGCAACGACGCCAGAAAAGGGCUUGAUGUCUACUAUGCAACCUUCUUCUUGUAGACAUUGUUGGGCCUCCAAGUGCAGAGGUUUGUAGGACAGUAGCAAAUUUCCCUCAAGUGGAUGACCUAAGGUUUAUGAAUCCGUGGGAGGCGCAGGAUAAAGAUGGUCUCUCUCAAACAACCCUGCAACCAAAUAACAAAGAGUCUCUUGUGUCCCCAACACACCCAAUACAAUGGUAAAUUGUAUAGGUUCACUAGUUCGGCAAAGAGAUGGUGAUACAAGUGCAAUAUGGAUGGUACAUAAAAGGUUUUUGUAAUCUGAAAUUAUAAAAACAACAAGGUAACAAGUGUUAAAAGUGAGAGAAAAUGGUAUUGCAAGGCUUCCAAACAAGGCCUAGGGUUUAUACUUUCGCUAGUGCAAGUUCUCUCAAUAAUAAUAACAUAAUUAGAUCAUAUAACAAUCCCUUAACAUGCAACAAAGAGUCACUCCAAAGUCAAUAAUAGCGGCGAACAAACGAAGAGAUUAUUGUAGGGUACGAAACCACCUCAAAGUUAUUCUUUCCGAUCAAUCUAUUGGGCUAUUCCUAUAAGUGUCACAAACAGCCUUAUAGUUUGUAGUAAAAUAACACCUUAAGACACACAUCAACCAAAACCCUAAUGUCACCUAGAUACUCCAAUGUCACCACAAGUAUCCGCGGGUAUGAUUAUACGAUAUGCAUCACACAAUCUCAGAUUCAUCUAUUCAAACCAACACAAAGUACUUCAUAGAGUGCCCCAAAGUUUCUAUCGGAGAGUCAAGACGAAAAUGUGUGCCAACCCCUAUGCAUUGAUUCCCAAGGUCACGGAACCCACAAGUUGAACACCAAAACAUACAUCAAGUGGAUCAAUAGAAUACCCCAUAUUCACCACGGGUUUCCCACGCAGGACAUACAUCAAGUGUUCUCAAAUCCUUAAAGACUCAAUCCGAUAAGAUAACUUCAAAGGAAAAAAUCAAUCCAUUAUAAGAAGGUAGAGGGGGAGAAACAUCAUAAGAUCCAACUAUAAUAGAAAAGGUCGCGGUACAUCAAGAUCGUGACAUAUCAAGAAGACGAGAGAGAGAGAGAGAGAGAUCAAACACAUAGCUACUGGUACAUACCCUCAGCUCCGAGGGUGAACUACUCCCUCCUCGUCAUGGAGAGCGCCGGGAUGAUGAUGAUGGCCACCGGUGAUGGACCCCCCUCCGGCAGGGUGCCGAAAUAGGGUCCUGAUUGGUUUUUGGUGGCUAUAGAGGCUUGCGGCGGCGGAACUCCCUAUCUAGGUUAUGUUCUGGAGGUUUAGGAAUUUAUAGGAGAGGUUGGCGUCAAGAACAAGUCAAGAGGCCCCACAGGGAGUCCACGAGGCNNNNNNNNNNNNNNNNNNNNNNNNNNNNNNNNNNNNNNNNNNNNNNNNNNNNNNNNNNNNNNNNNNNNNNNNNNNNNNNNNNNNNNNNNNNNNNNNNNNNNNNNNNNNNNNNNNNNNNNNNNNNNNNNNNNNNNNNNNNNNNNNNNNNNNNNNNNNNNNNNNNNNNNNNNNNNNNNNNNNNNNNNNNNNNNNNGGGCCCACGGGACUCCCCUCCGGUAACUCUUCGUUCUAGUAUUUUUUAUAUUUUCCAGAAAAAAUCUCCGUUUAUUUUCAGCGCAUUCCGAGAACUUUUAUUUCUGAACAAAAACAACACCACGGUAGUUUUGCUGAAAACAUCAUUAGUCCGGGUUAGUUCUGAGAAAAUCAUACCAAAAUCAUGUAAAAAUAUUGUAAACAUGGCAUGAAUACAUCAAAAAUUAUAGAUACAUUGGAGACGUAUCACAACCCAUUUUCAAUAUCAACCACUCAAACAGGAGCAAAAAAAACAUCAGAACAUAAAGCCGAACUCAUUUAAAAACUUCGCCCCAAAAGCCUAUUCCCUUUAUGUUGUGGGGUUAACACGAAAAAUGCCCUAGUGAAAGGACUUAGGUGCGAGGCCAUCACUACGGUGAUUAGAUCAAAGUGGUUGAAUGGGAUGAAGGACAUGAAUUUACCCAAGUUCGGCCCCUCACGUGGAGGUAAAAGCCUACUCGUGCUCUUUGUUGCUACUUCUUGAGUAUCAUUUACAAGGGAGCGGAUUCGCUUAACCUAGCUAUCGAUUGAUUGUAACUUAAGUUUACCCGCCGCAGGGACUCACCUUUAUAUACACAGGUCGAGGCCCUGGGCUUACAAGAGUCCGGGUCGGGUUAUACUUCGUAACCGAUCCUUGCUCUAAGUCGCCUUGCCUUCUUUGGCAAGUCGCCGUCGGGCGGCUUACACCGCCGAGUCACGCAUCGUCUUCUGGUAUUGAGCCUUCAACCGAUCCACUCUGUAAGCCGCCUCCUGGCUCUGUGUCUUGGUCUCUUGGGCCUGUCUAGGUUUCAUUGUUAAGUCACCAAUAGUCUGACCCGGCCCUUCUAGGGUAGGUUAUAUCGUGGGCUCAUAUCCCCAACAUUAGGCCCCAGAUUGAUUUGAACUUGUUCAUGUUAAUCCUCAACACCUCUGGGUUGCGAGUCUUCUUUGGUUCUUAAGAACACUCAUCCUUUAAAUUAUCUUCAUAACCCGCCAUAUGAAGGGAUGAUGUCAUCUGCAUAAAUUAAGAAAAUUUCUCAUGACAUCACAACGUAUCUUUUGCAUUAAUCAACCAUUUCAAAAAUCGAGGUUUCCUUUUUGCUGUAGAAGUUAUCAUGCCUCCUCGAUUCUUGCACACACAUAUUACUGUGCCCUCUUUUCCUUAUAAAUAGCCAUGGGGGCCUGCCUUUUUCACUUUCCACCCCGUCGCCUCCGCUUCUUCUUCUUCCUCGCGAUGGAUGCUGCGACCGGAGCUCCGCCAUCCCCGUCGAGCUACGCCAGUCAACCCCAGCCAAGGUCGUCACAUCUGCUUGUCGCCGUCAGGAUCCAGUGACAUGCCGCCGCUCUGCUUCAUCUUAGUUCAUCCCCUUUUCCGAAAAGAGGCUAAUUUUGAUCCAAAAACACCAUCAGGAUGCUGUGGUAGUAGUUUUAGUACCAUCUCAAUAUUGAACAACCUAUAUUCCCUUCUAAAAUUGAUAGGUUGCUCGCUAGUUCUUCCAUCAUUACCUUUUAGGUUUAGCAAUUGUUUUUCUUUUUGAACUGCAUGUAUAUUCGUAAAUAUAGCUGUCAGUUCCGAAAUCUGUUUAUUCCAUACUUAGUAAAAUUCACCAAUCUUGAAAUUUAGAUAGCUGACCCACCCUUCACCUUUCGGGCGGUUUACCCAUGUAUUUGUAACAAAAUCUGGUGCCCCAUACUUAGACAACCCGCCAAUAUGCUGCCGGCUUAUACUUUCAUAAUUUAGCCCUCCAUAUUCUCAUAGCUUGAUAGUCACCUUACCCCCAUAGUUAGGGCGGCUCAUAAUUUCUUAAUAGCUCACCAUAACAUAUUUGUCGUCUUAUAUGCAUAACUGACCCAUUAUUGCUGAGAUAUCAUUUAGCCACUUAGGCGCCUUAUCCUUACAUUCUUAACCCGCCAUAACUUUAUUCCUUGCCUGCAGUUUUUAACCCGGCCAAUCAUGUCUAGAACUCCCACUUCUUGUGACCGGGUAGCCUCCCAAGUCUCAGAACUCAUGCUCAAUGAGUAUGUGUACAUGGGUGUUUUACCGGCUAAAAAUGUCAUCCACUGGUGGGUUCCUGGUCCUGAAACUAUCCCUGAGCCUAGAGAGGGCGAAGUUGUAGUUUUCAUAGAUCACCUCCUUCGUGGCUUUUCACCACCCAGGUCAAAAAAAUUCCAGGACGCUCUGCAUUUUUACAAGCUUCAUCCUCAAGAUAUUGGCCCCAACUGUGUCACCAAUCUGUGCCAAUUUCAAGUAUUUCGUGAAGUGUAUCUGCAAGAGGAGCCGACUAUUGAUCGCUUCAAAGACUUCUUUUACAUCACCGCCAAACUGAAAUGACAGACGGACUCAGUCUUGAGCUUGGAUGUGUUUCCAUUCAGAGGCGGAGAGAUGUAAAUUUCCCCUCAGCCAUACUGCCAAGUCAUCCCAAGGGCUAGAACAACACUUGGUUUUAUUGGCAAAACAAUGCUCUGGCUGAAGAAAACCCCUUGUCGGGUUAUCGUCCCUACCGGCUCAACACCAAUACCGAGAUUCCUGGUUGAUUAACCACCGCAGAGCGUGCUCAAUAUGCACACAUAUUUUCAAAGAUAAGGGCUUUGAUAGCCAAUGGCUUAACUCGAGUUGAUUUGACCUGCUGCUGGGACUCAUGGAGGAUCUUACCGUUGAGCCGGCGCGGUGGCUUAAUGUGUCAAUAUACUCAUGAUGUGAAGGACCUAUGACGAUACAACUAGAAACCUUUGUCAGACAAGGAGAUCAAUGAAAUGGUCAAGUCUUUGCUUGGGGAGUCUCAAGAAGCCUGCAAUAGGACAGAGAUGAAUCAUUUCUGCACUCUUAACCUAGCCCCGCCAGUAAGUACCUUGAAUAGACCUUUGUCUUGCUUAUCUAUUUGUACACUUCAUGCCUUUUAAAUUGCCGCCUCUUAUUAUAUAUAUACAGGCUGGUUCCACCUUCUAGAAAAAGAAGCUAACAACAACUCUAAUGGCUAACAAGAGUAAGCAGUGAAGCCUCAAGGUCCGGGUCGUCGUAAGAAACCGAGAGCAGAAGAGCUACUCCAGAUAGAUGAGUUGGAGGUAGAACUUGACUCCGUUGGUCUUCUUUUCAUGCAACUAAUUGAUGCCGAUUCCUCUCAGGACGAAGUGGAGACAAGCUGUGCCAACGAAGUAGAGGUAAUUACUGUCUCCUCUGACUCAGAACCCUUGCCAAGAAAGAAAACAAGGCGGUCAUCCGGAAAGUAAGAUUUUCUCACCCUCAUGCUUAUAUGGACCCCAACUUUCUUUUGAAGAAACAACAUCACGAGUCCAGGUGUCAGACUCGGAGUGGCGGCAUUGAAGAACUUGUGGCUGGCUUAUCCAACACGCCGGCUCCUCUGAAAUGUCGCAAUGAGGUGCCUCAUAGCCCAUCUCUAUCUCUUCCACGAGCUGGCCUCGUGCGGCAACCUCUUAACCCUUUUGACUCCGACUAUCAUGGAACACCUCCGUCAUCUGGCAACUCAACAGGAACAUAGCUUCCUACCUUCGUGGUUAACCCAGGGUAAAUGUUUACAUUUGUUGACAAAAACUUGUUGUCACAUACUCAUAAGCUUUUAUACUCUUGUCAUAGGGCCAAGGCCAAAACUGACAAGAAGAAAAAGGUGGGCGACUCUUCCAAGGCUCCCGAGGUCUUUGAGCCAGAGAAGCAAGUGUUGAAAACCCCUGAGGUCCCAAUCCAAAAUCCUUAAGACCCUGUCAAUCAGCAAAUUGAUCUGCCUCCGCAAACUAAGGGAUCACCUUCUGAGGUCAUGGAUACUGACGCUAACCCGGCAGACAACCAUGACCUGCCAAGUCCUAAGCCUUCCUCUCCUGCCAAAUCAACUGACAAGAGCCCUGUUGCUGACAAUGUUGAUGACAUUGCUAUCACCGGAUUAGCUUUUAAAGCGCCCAAAGCCUCCAAAGUGAUAGCAGAAAGCUCCAAAAGGUGUUAUAAAAUAUUUCUUUUCUUGGUCUUAGACUGCCAUCUUGAUCUGAUGAUAACUAGAAUAAGCAUCCAGGAAGCAUAAACUCUCACAACCCACCGUUGCAUAAAUGAUUUGGUUGAUACGAGGGAGAGCAAAUGGAUUAGCUGGACAAGCCUUGUUAAGAUCCGUGUAAUCAACACACAUACGCCAUGCGCCAUUUUUCUUAAGUACAAGCACAUGGUUAGCCAACCACUCAAGGUGAAAGACUUCCACGAUAAACCCGGCAACCAAGAGCCAGGUACCUCUUCUCCAAUAGCUUUACGUAGUUCUUCACUGAAACAACAGAGGAAUUGCUUGAUUGGCUUAACUUUGGGAUCCACAUUAAGAUGGUGCUCAACAAAUUCUCUCGGUACACCCAACAUGUCAGAAGGUUUCCAUGCAAAGAUGUCCCGGUUCUCACGGAUGAAUUCAAUGAGCAUGCUUUCCUAUUUGGGAUCCAUAUAAGCCCCCACAGUGAAAUGCUGAGAUGAGUCGCUAGGAACAAAUUCCACUUGCUUGGUAUCAUCAGCCGACUUAAAUUUCAACAGAGGGUCCUAUUCAGUGCUAGGCUUCUUCAUAGGGGUCAUAUCAGUUGGGUCAACAUUAUAUUUAUAAAACCUGAGCUCCUCAGUGGCACAAGCUGACUCUGGAUAAGCAGCAUCUCCUUCCUCGCACUCCAGGGCGAGUUUGCGGUUUCCAUGAAUAGUGAUUGUCCCUUUUGGCCCUGGCAUCUUAAGAUUCAAGUAAAUAUAACACGGGCGAGCCAUAAACCGAGCAUAAGCCGUCCGUCCAAAUAAAGCAUUGUUGGAAAUAUUCCCUAGAGGCAAUAAUAAAUUGGUUAUUAUUAUAUUUCCUUGGUCAUGAUAAUUGUCUAUUAUUCAUGCUAUAAUUAUAUUAACAAGAAACCGUAAUACAUGUGUGAAUACAUAGACCACAACAUGUCCCUAGUAAGCCUCUAGUUGACUAGCUCGUUGAUCAAUAGAUGGUUAUGGUUUCCUGACCAUGGACAUUGGAUGUCAUUGAUAACGGGAUCACAUCAUUAGGAGAAUGAUGUGAUGGACAAGACCCAAUCCUAAGCAUAACACAAGAUCGUGUAGUUCGUUUGCUAGAGCUUUUCUAAUGUCAAGUAUCAUUUCCUUAGACCAUGAGAUUGUGCAACUCCCGGAUACCAUAGGAAUGAUUUGGGUGUAUCAAACUUCACAACGUAACUGGGUGGCUAUAAAGAUGCACUACAGGUAUCUUCGAAAGUGUCUGUUGGGUUGGCACGAAUCAAGAAUUGGAUUUGUCACUCCGUAUGACGAAGAGGUAUCUCUGGGCCCACUCGGUAAUGCAUCAUCAUAAUGAGCUCAAUGUGACUAAUGAGUUAGCCACGGGAUCAUGCAUUACUGAACGAGUAAAGAGACUUGCCGGUUACAAGAUUUAACAAGGUAUAGGGAUACUGACGAUCAAAUCUCGGGCAAGUAACAUACCGAUGGACAAAGGGAAUUGUAUACGAGAUUGAUUGAAUCCCCGACAUCGUAGUUCAUCCGAUGAGAUCAUCGUGGAACAUGUGGGAGACAAUAUGGGUAUCCAGAUCCCGCUAUUGGUUAUUGGCCGAAAAGGUAUCUCGGUCAUGUCUGCAUGGUUUCCCGAACCCGUAGGGUCUACACACUUAAGGAUCGGUGACGCUAGAGUUGUUAUGGGAAUAGUAUGUGGUUACCAAAGGUUGUUAGGAGUCCCGGAUGGAUGCCAGACGUGACGAGGAGUUCCAGAAUGGUCCAAAGGUGAAGAUCCAUAUAUUGGACGAAGGGUAUUGGAGUCCGGAAGUGUUCCGAGGGUACCAGGCUAUGGCCAGCAUGACCGAAAGGUGUUUCGGGGGGCCCGACAAGUGUUGCAGGGCCUCAUGGGCCAAGGGGAGGGGGCAAACCAGCCCACUAAGGGGCUAUGCACCCCACACCCUUUCCCAUGUUGCUUGGGGAGGUGGGGUGCCUCCAGCUGACUUGGGAGGCAAGCCUCCACCUGCUUGGCUUGGGGGGCAAGUCUCCCUAGGGUUUCCCUAGGGAGAUCCAAUCUUCCCUGGCCGCUGCCCCCUAGGGGAAACCCUAGGGCGCCUCCCCCUCUUCCCUUCCCCCUAUAUAUAGUGAGGAGGUGGGAGGGCAGCCGUGACCCUUCCCCUGGCGCAGCCCCUCCCUCCUCCAACACCUCCUCCUCCUUCGUAGUGCUUGACGAAGCCCUGAAGGAGAACCACAAGCUCCACCACCACACCGUCGUGCUACCAGAGCUCUCCCUCAACUUCUCCUCUCCCCUUGCUGGAUCAAGGAGGAGACGUCCCCGGUCUGUACGUGUGUUGAACGCGGAGGCGCCGUCCGUUCGGUGCUAGAUUGGAUCUUCCGCGAUUUGAAUCGCCACAAGUACGACUCCAUCAACCGUGUUCUUGUAACGCUUCCGCUUAGCGACCUUCAAGGGUAUGAAGAUGCACUCCUGCUCUCUCUCUCUCGUUGCUAGUAUCUCCUAGAUUGAUCUUGGUGACACAUAGGAAAAUUUUGAAUUAUUACUACGUUCCCCAACAGUGGAAUCAUGAGCUAGGUCUAUGCAUAGAUUCUAUGCAUGAGUAGAACACAAGUAGUUGUGGGUGUUAGUUUGUUCAAUAUGCUUACCAUUACUAGUCCUAUCUUGAUUUGGCGGCAUUGUGGGAUGAAGAGGCCCGGACCGACCUUACACGCACGCUUAUGUGAGACAGGUUCCACCGACUGACAUGCACUUGUUGCAUAAGGUGGCUAGUGGGUGUAUGUCUCUCCCACCUUAGUCGGAUUGGAUUCGAUGAAAAUGGUCCUUAUGAAGGGUAAAUAGCAAUUGGCAUAUCACCGUUGUGUCUUUUGCGUAGGUAAGAAAUGUUCUUGCUAGAAACCCAUAGUAGCCAUGUAAAAUAUGCAACAACAAUUAGAGGACGUCUAACUUGUUUUUGCAGGGUAUGCUAUGUGAUGUGAUAUGGCCAAAAGGAUGUGAUGAAUGAUAUAUCUGAUGUAUGAGAUUGAUCAUGUCCUUGUAAUAGGAAUCAUGACUUGCAUGUCGAUGAGUAUGACAACCGGCAGGAGCCAUAGGAGUUGUCUUAAUUUAUUGUAUGACAUGCGUGUCAAUGAGAACGCCAUGUAAUUACUUUACUUUAUUGCUAACCGUUAGCCAUAGUAGUAGAAGUAAUAGUUGGCGAGACAACUUCAUGAAGACACGAUGAUGGAGAUCAUGGUGUCGUGCCGGUGACGAAGGUGAUCAUGCCGCGCCUCAAAGAUGGAGAUCAAAGGCGCAAAAUGAUAUUGGCCAUAUCAUGUCAAUUUAUGAUUUGCAUGUGAUGUUUGUCAUGUUUACAUCUUAUUUUCUUAGAACGACGGUAGCAUAAAUAAGAUGACCCCUCACUAAAAUUUCAAGAAAGUGUUCCCCCUAACUGUGCACCAUUGCUAAGGUUCGUUGUUUCGAAGCACCACGUGAUGAUAGGGUGUGAUAGAUUCUAACAUUCACAUACAACAGGUGUAAGCCAGAUUUAAACAUGCAAAACACUUAGGUUGACUUGACGAGCCUAGCAUGUACAGACAUGGCCUCGGAACACGAGAGACCGAAAGGUCGAACAUGAGUCGUAUAGCAGAUAUGAUCAACAUGGAGAUGUUCACCGAUGAUGACUAGUCCGUCUUGAUAUGUCUCCAACGUAUCUAUAAUUUUUGGUUGUUCCAUGCUAUUAUAUUACACCUUUUGGCUGUUUAUGGGCUUUAUUUUACACGUUUAUAUCAUUUUUGGGACUAACCUACUAACCGGAGGCCCAGCCCGUAUUGCUGUUUUUUUGCCUAUUUCAGUAUUUCGAAGAACAUGAAUGUCAAACGGAGUCCAAACGGAAUGAAACCUCCGGGAGCGUGAUUUUUGAAACGAACGUGAUCCAGAGGACUUGGAGUGCAAGUCAAGAAGCAAUCGAGGCGGCCAGGAGAUAGGAGGGCGCGCCCACCCCUCCUGGGCGCGCCCCUGUCUCCUGGGCCCCUCGAGCGGCCACCGACAUACUUCUUCCUCCUAUAUAUACCUACGUACCCCGAAAACAUCCAGGGAGCCACCGAAACACAAUUUCCACCGCCAUAACCUUCUGUAUCCGCGAGAUCCCAUCUUGGAGCCUUCACCGGUGCUCCACCAGAGGGGGAAUCGACCAUGGAGGGCUUCUACAUCAACACCAUAGCCCCUCCGAUGAGUUUCGAGUAGUUUACCACAAACCUUCGGGUCCAUAGUUAUUAGCUAGAUGGCGUCUUCUCUCUUUUUUGACCUCAAUACAAUGUUCUCCCCCUCUCUUGUAGAGAUCUAUUUGAUGUAAACUCUUUUUGCGGUGUGUUUAUCGAGAUCCGAUGAAUUGUGGGUUUAUGAUCAAGUUUAUCUAUGAGAAAUAUUUGAAUCUUCUCUGAAAUCUUUUAUGUAUGAUUGAGUUAUCUUUGCAAGCCUCUUCGAAUUAUCUGUUUGGUUUGGCCUACUAGAUUGAUCUUUCUUGCCAUGGGAGAAGUGCUUAGCUUUGGGUUCAAUCUUGCGGUGUCCUUACCCAGUGACAGAAAGGGUUGCAAGGCACGUAUUGUGUUGUUGCCAUCGAGGAUAAAAAGAUGGGGGUUUAUACCAUAUUGCUUGAGUUUGUCCCUCUACAUCAUGUCAUCUUUGUUAAUGCGUUACUCUGUUCUUAUGAACUUAAUACUCUAGAUGCAUGCUAGAUAGCGGUCGAUGUGUGGAGUAAUAGUAGUAGAUGCAGGCAGGAGUCGGUCUACUUGUCACGGAUGUGAUGCCUAUAUACAUGAUCAUGCCUAGAUAAUCUCAUAAUUAUUCGCUUUUCUAUCAAUUGCUCGACAGUAAUUUGUUCACCCACCGUAAUACUUAUGCUAUCUUGAGAGAAGCCACUAGUAAAACCUAUGGCCCCCGGGUCCAUCUUUUAUCAUAUAAGCUUUCAAUGUACUUUUAUUUGCAUCUUUACUUUUUGCAUCUAUAAUAUAAAAUACCAAAAAUAUAUUUAUCUUAUCAUACUAUCUCUAUCAGAUCUCACUUUCGCAAGUGUCUGUGAAGGGAUUGACAACCCCUUUAUUGCGUUGGUUGCGAGUUCUUUGUUUGUUUGUGUAGGUGCGUGGCACUUUUGAGGAGCCUCCUACUAGAUUGAUACCUUGGUUCUCAAAAACUAAGGGAAAUACUUAUGGUACUAUUGCUGAAAUCACCCUUUCCUCUUCAAGGAAAACCAACGCACGCUCAAGACGUAGCAAGAAGGAUUUCUGGCGGCAUUGCCGGGGAGGUCUUCGCUCAAGUCAAGACAUACCAAGUACCCAUCACAAACUCAUCUCCCUCGCAUUUACAUUAUUUGCCAUUUGCCUCAUUAUUUGCCAUUUGCCUCUCAUUUUCCUCUCCCCCACUUCACCCUUGCCAUUUUAUUUGCCCUCUCUUUCCCAAUUCUCUCUCUCCCUUUCGCUUGCCUUUUUCUGUUUGCUUGUGUGUUGGAUUACUUGUUGCCAUGGCGCAAGAUAAUACCAAAUUGUGUGAUUUUUCCAAUACCAAUAAUAAUGAUUUCCUUAGUACUCUGAUUGCUCCUCUUAAUGAUGUUGAGUCUUGUGAAAUCAAUACUGCUUUGUUGAAUCUUGUUAUGAAAGAUCAAUUCGCCGGCCUUCCUAGUGAAGAUGCCGCUACUCAUCUAAACAACUUUGUUGAUUUGUGUGAUAUGCAAAAGAAGAAAGAUACGGAUAAUGAUAUUGUUAAAUUGAAGUUAUUUCCCUUUUCACUUAGAGAUCGUGCUAAAGUUUGGUUUUCGUCUUUGCCUAAAAAUAGUAUUGAUUCUUGGAACAAGUGCAAAGAUACUUUUAUCUCUAAGUAUUUUCCUCCCGCUAAGAUUAUCACUCUUAGGAACGAUAUUAUGAAUUUUAAACAACUUGAUCAUGAGCAUGUUGCCCAAUCUUGGGAAAGAAUGAAAUUGAUGAUUCAUAAUUGCCCUACUUAUGGUUUGAAUUUAUGGAUGAUCAUACAAAAUUUUUAUGCCAGUUUGAACUUUGCUUUUAGAAAUCUUUUAGAUUCAGCCGCGGGAGGCACGUUUAUGGAAGUCACGUUAGGAGAUGCUACAAAACUUCUUGAUAAUAUUAUGGCUAAUUAUUCUUAAUGGCACACCGAAAGAUCUUCUAGUAAAAAAGUGCAUGCUAUAGAAGAAAUCAAUGUUUUGAGUGGAAAGAUGGAUGAACUUAUGAAGUUGUUUGCUACUAAAAAUACUCCUCUUGAUCCCAAUGAUAUGCCUUUGUCUACUUUGAUUGAGAAUAAUAAUGAAUCUAUGGAUGUGAAUUUUGUUGGUAGGAAUAGUUUUGGAAACAAUGUUUAUGGAGGAAACUUUAAUUCUAGACCGUUCCCUAGUAAUUCCUCUAAUAAAUAUGGAAAUUCCUACAAUAAUUCUUAUGGUAAUUUUAAUAAGAUGCCCUAUGAUUUUGAGAAUAGUGUGAAAGAAUUUAUGAUUUCUCAAAAGAAUUUUAAUGCUUUGCUUGAAGAAAAAUUACUCAAAGUUGAUGAUUUGGCUAGGAAAGUUGAUAGACUUUCGCUUGAUGUUGAUUCUCUUAAACUUAGAUCUACUACUCCUCAGCAUGAUAUCAAUGAGUCUCCCAAAGCCAUGAGAAUUUCCAUCGAUGAGUGCAAGGAAAGAACCGCUAGAUUGCGUGCUAAGAAAGAUUGCUUUGUAAAGGCGUGUUCUUCUAGUUUCCAUGAAAAUAAUGAUGAAGAUCUUAAAGUUAUUGAUGUGUCUCCUAUUAGAUCUUUGUUUUGCAAUAUGAAUCUUGAUAAUAAUGGGACUGGAGAUGAGUCAACUUUAUUUAGAAGGCGUCCCAAGAAUUCAGAGUUUUUAGAUAUUGAUGCUAAAUUUGGUAAAAGUGGGAUUGGAGAGGUCAUGACUUUAAAUAGUAUUGAACCCACUAUCUCGGAUUUCAAGGAAUUUGAUUAUGAUAAUUGUUCUUUAUAAAGUUGUAUUCGCUUGUUGCAAUCCGUUGUUAAUUCUCCUCAUGCUUAUAGUCAAAAUAAAGCUUUUACCAAACAUAUCGUUGAUGCCUUGAUGCAAUCUUUUGAUGAAAAACUUAAUUUGGAAGUUUCUAUACCUAGAAAACUUAAUAACGAGUGGAAACCUACUAUAAAGAUUAAAAUUAAAGAUCAUUAGUGUUUUGCUUUGUGUGAUUUGGGUGCUAGUGUUUCCACAAUUCUGAAAACUUUAUGUGAUAUUCUACGUUUCCAUGAUCUUGAUGAUUGCUCUUUAAAUUUGCACCUUGCGGAUUCCACCAUUAAAAAUCCAAUGGGAAGGAUCAAUGAUGUUAUCAUUGUUGCAAAUAGAAAUUUGGUGCCCAUAGAUUUUAUCGUUCUUGAUAUAGAUUGCAAUCUUUCUUGCCCUAUUAUUCUUGGUAGACCUUUCCUUAGAAUGAUUGUUGAGAUUAUUGAUAUGAAGGAAGGGAAUAUGAGAUUACAAUUUCCAUUAAAGAAAGGCAUGGAGCACUUUACAAGAAAUAAAGUCAAAUUACCUUAUGAAUCUAUCAUGCGAGCUACCUAUGAAUCAAGUGCCAAAGAUGGCACUACUUAGAUCUAUCUUCGCUUUUAUGCCUAGCUAGGGGCAUUAAACGAUAGCGCUAGUUGGGAGGCAACCCAAUUUUCUUUGUGUUUUUUUUGUUUUUGUUCCUGUUUAGUAAUAAAUUUUGCAUCUAACUUCUGUUUAGAUGUGUUUUAUGUUUUAAUUAGUGUUUGUGCCAAGUAGAACCUAUAGGAUAACCUAUGAUGAUAGUUGAUUUGAUUCUGCUGAAAAACAGAAACUUUGUGCUCACGAGAACAAAUUCAAUAAAUCACAGAAACGUGAUUUUGCAUUUAUUCGUUUUGCUGCUGAUCAAUAAACAAAUUUUCCAGGACUUCCUAUUUUGGUAGGAUUUUUAGAGUUCCAGAAGUUUGCGUUAGUUACAGAUUGCUACAGACUGUUCUGUUUUUUGACAGAUUCUGUUUUUCGUGUGUUGUUUGCUUAUUUUGAUGCAUCUAUGGCUAGUAUUAAGUGGUAUGAACCAUAGAGAACUUGGAAUACAGUAGGUUUAACACCAAUAUAAGUAAAGAAUGAGUUCAUUACAGUACUUUAUGUGGUGGUUUUGUUUUCUUUCAUUAACAGAGCUUAUGAGAUUUCCUAUUGAGUUUUGUGUUCUUAAGUUUUCCAGUUUUGGGUAAAGCUUUGAUGGACUAUGGAAUAAGGAGUGGAAAAAGCCUAAGCUUGGGGAUUCCCAAGGCACCCCAAGAUAUUCAAUAAUAUCCAAAAGCCUAAGCUUGGGGAUGCCCCGGAAGGCAUCCCCUCUUUCGUUUUCGUUCAUUGGUAACUUUACUUGGAGCUAUAUUUUUAUCCGCCACAUGAUAUGUGUUUUGCUUGGAGCGUCGUGUAUUAUAUUAGUCUUUGAUUUUUAGUUUACCACAAUCAUACUUGCUGUACACACCUUUUGGGAGAAGCCCACUUGAUUAGAAUUUAUUAGAAUAUGCUAUGUGCUUCACUUAUAUCUUUUGAGCUAGAUAGUUUUUGCUCUAGUGCUUCACUUAUAUCUUUUUGAGCACGGCGGUGGCUUAAUUUUGUAGAAAUUGCUAGUCUAUCAUGCUUCACUUAUAUUAUUUUGAGAGUCUCUUAGAACAGCAUGGUAUUUUCUAUGGUUAUGAAUUUGGUCCUAGAAUGAUGAGCAUCCAAGUUGGGUAUAAUAAAAACUACCAUAGAAAGUGCAUUAAACACUAGGAUCAAUUUGAUGCUUGAUAAUUGUUUUGAGAUAUAAAGGUAGUAAUGUUAGAGUCAUGCUAGUGGGUAAUUAUGAAAUUGAGAAAUACUUGUGUUGAAGUUGGCAAGUCCCGUAUCAUGCAUGUAUGGUAAAAGUUGUGUGACAAAUUUGUUGCAUGAGGUUCUCUUUUGAUUGUCUUCCUUAUGAGUGGCAGUCGGGGACGAGCAAUGGUCUUUUCCUACCAAUCUAUCCCUCUAGGGGCAUGCGUAUUAGUACUUUGCUUCGAGGGCUAAGUAUACUUUUGCAAUAAGUAUAUGAGUUCUUUAUGACUAAUGUGAGUCCAUGGAUAUACGCACACUCAUCCUUCCAUUUAGCUAGCCUCUAUUAUACCACGCAACUUUCGCCGGUAGCAUGCACCCAUUAUUUACCUUCCUCAAAACAGCCACCAUAUCUACCUAUUAUGGCAUUUCCAUAGCCAUUCCAAGAUAUAUUGCCAUGCAACUUUCCACCAUUCUGUUUAUUAUGACACGCUCCAUCAUUGUCAUAUUGCUCUUUGCAUGAUCAUGUAGUUGACAUCGUAUUUGUGGCAAAGCCACCUUCAUAAUUUUCAUACAUGUCGCUCUUGAUUCAUUGCAUAUCCCGGUACACCGCCGGAGGAAUUCAUAUAGAGUCAUAUCUUGUUCUAGCUUUGAGUUGUAAAUCAAUAAAAGUGUGAUGAUCUUCAUUAUUAGAGCAUUGUCCCAGUGAGGAAAGGAUGAUGAAGACUAUGAUUCCCCCACAAGUCGGGAUGAGACUUCGGACUUUACAAAGAAAAAAAGAAGAGAGAAAGGCCAAAAAAAAAAAAGGCCAAAGAAACAAAAAGAAAAAAA